AGCGUCCGGUCCAUCCACCUGAUGAUGUCGGCGGCGAUCUCGUCGCGCUCGGGUUCGAAGAGCAGGUCGUGCAGGAACCCCUCGUACAGCCGCAGGUCCUUGUGCCUCGACGCCGCCUCCCUGUAGAGCUCCUGCGAGGCCAGCGGGUCCGUCACCCGGUCCGCCGUGCCGUGCAGGACUACAAACGGGACAGUCACCUUCUUCAGGUUGUGCAGCAGGUAGGAGGAGAUGCGCAGGAUCUCGUGGCCCGUACGGACCCUGAUCGGCCCCGUGUAGACCAGCGGGUCAGAGUACUUUGCUAGCAGCGCCGCAGGGUCGCGGGACACCGGGAUGCCCCGCUUGUUGGCUCCCUUGAAUUGGAACUUGGGUGCAAUCAGAGAGAAUAUCGGUGCCACUGCCUGCAUUUGAUUCAGAUGAGUCUCAGUGAUGAAACACGACUUGCCAUGCAGGUAAACCAAAAAUAUAUCGCGAAUUUUGAAGUUUUAAAUUUUGUGGAUGAAUUCAAAAGCAGAGCUUCUGAAAUAGCUCUACUUUUGAUAUGAGCGUACAAUAUCAAAAGUUCUCAAAUCAGCAUAAUUUGGAAUAAUAAUAGGAAACCAGAAUAGUUCUAUUACCCCGACUAUCGGAUGCGCUGGUUUUACACGCACAGCUGGUGAAGUCAGGAUGAUCCCUUCCAGUCUGGUUCUGAUAUGGGCGUACAGCGACGCCUGCAAGAUGACAGCUAGUGAUGAGCAACCAUGAAACAAGUAAGUUAAGCGUUGUUAAAUGAGCAUCGUUAGCCAAACCAUUUCAACCAGGCUAUUUUGUUAAUGCUUUGCACCACUCUCCGCCGUCAGGGUAUCCAUUGUUCACAGGCCCAGAGGAGUAGGGUCAGUGUCUAGAUCUGGCCUAAAUACCGAUGACAAAAAAGCGAUUUAAUUCGACAGGCCAUACCUUCAAAACAACAGCUCCACCAGUGGAGUGGCCGAGUAGAAAACAAGGAACAUCUGGAUUCUCCAGCAUAAUUUUAUCAAGAAGUACUUCCUGCUCAGAGAUGAUAAUAUUGCAUUACAUCAGCCAUCAGGAACAGUAGCAAGGAAAAAAAUAGUGUGCUAUACAAAACAACGUCGACCUUAAAAAUAUGCUAUUACCGUGUUAUAGCAUUGCCAUUAGCAAGAUAUUGUACACUGAUCAAUUUAGCGACACAAUUCUCUACACAUUAUACCGUGCUAUUAGCGGCGCUAUAUCGUGCUAUUUUUUUCAGUGAACAGAAUAGCUUUGUGCCUUCUAUGGAAAAACCUUGAACAGGAUGUAGAAGUAGGUGGACAGACAGAGACUUACCAUGUCUUUUAUAACAUAGUCCAGAGAAGGAACAUAACCGUGCAGACCAUCACUCCCACCAUGACCUGUUAUGCAGAAGCUCAAGUUAGCCUGUUGAUGUUGAAACGAAUGCAAAAUUCAGUAGGCAUGCUCACACCUCACAGGAACAAAGAGACUGAAAACCAUGGAUAAUUUUCUCGAAGCACUGCUAGAUUCAUGGGAAUGAGUUGCAAGGUAAGAAUCCACAACUAUGCGGGUACAGCAUGACAACCUUAGCAUCGUUGCUUAUAUUUUACUACCUCCUAUAAAAAAAACUACUAUCUGGUUCUAAAUGUUUGUCAUAAUAUUACCAAUACCAGAUAGCUAGCUAACACCUAGUUAGCUUGAUACCUACAUGAUCCACACACACACACAAAAACAAAAAAAAAAAAAAAAAACUAAGCACUCCCUCCGAUCCAUAUUAAAUGUCGCUGAUUUAGCACUGAUCUUCCACCAAACCAACCAUGUGUAACAUUUCCUAUAAUAUAGCAGAAGAAGACAUGUUCAGAAAACCACAAGUAGGUUUCCUUACCAAUCCAGUCCAUUGCAUAUACUCCAAAGCCACAUGACGUUAGCUGCUCGGCAAAAUGCAAAUACCUCCCACUGAAAAGCAAGAUCAAGAUGCAUUUAGUAAUGCCUCUAAUACAGGGAGGAUAUGAAAAAUAUAGGUGUGUCCACCAACAUGCUGGGGCCUGGAGGACUGGAGGGGACUGACUCAACAUGAUUUCCUUACCUAUGUUCAUUGAGCCCAUGUACGAUGAGCAGAAUGGCCCUGAAGCAAAAGAGGAAGAUAGUCAAUACAAAAUUGUGUCACUGCAAGUGAAAGAGAGGUUCAGCUUGAUGCUUCAAACUUCUCGUUUCUUAUGAAAGAGACUGAACAGAACCAUAAUCUUCAGAAGGUGUUCACACAUGUAGAUCCAUAAAACCAGUCAGCAAAAUUAGGGGUGGAGGAUCACCUAAAUUAGUUGUGAUUAUGUCAUUUUUCAACAUUUGUUUGCUGGGUUGUUUGACUAUUAUGCCAUUCAUAUUGAAAACAGAGUUGACGGUCAGCUCAGGCAACUACACACCGGGUCAUGUCAAGAAUAAUCAACACUUUGGUUGCACAAAGUGGGCGCAUUAAAGAAUUAAGAAAAAUCCCUCUGCCCCUUUCUUGAUAGCUAAGUUUUCCCGUGUCACAUGGAGACAUUACGUUAAGGUUUUUAUGGAGUAUUGAGAGAUAAGAAUGGAACAGAAGUUGGAGAUAAGUAUCAGCUUAUAUUCCUAAUCCGUUCCACUUUACUUGUUCCCCCUUUCCUGUAUUUCAAUGUUGCUUCACACCGUCCCAAAAAAAUUGCACAAAGCUAUCGUUAUUUUAGUCAACUAGCCCAGGUUCCGAAGGAGAGACGCGUACAAGAAAUAUGACAACCUAAAACAGCAGCUCUGCGAUGAGGACAAACUGCAUGCAUCAUCGUUGACAGGGGUAGGUAAUGAGUACGAAUGCAAAGAUAGGUGAAGAUCUGAAUUACAACGUGCAUCGCACGGCACGUCUCUUUAUGAGUAGAGCAGCAGACACAGCCUUCUGUAAAACACUAGGUCCAGGUAUCUAGUAAAGCACUCUAAUCGCGUGAUCAAAACCGCAGCUAGUAUGCAUGAUCUAAAUGCUCAACGUGCCUUGCCAUUACUACACUAGGAUCACCUAAACAGGAGCAGAAAAUUGCAACUUUAACUGAAAUUACCACCCGUUGGCAUCAGAGAAGAGUACCAAAGACGCAAGAGAACUAUUCACCACGCACAAUUCGCAAAUAAACAUAAUUUCUAAGGGAUCAAAGACCAAAAGAAAUCAUUUUAUAUUUUUGAGGGGAGGAAAUCCUUGUAAUAUUGUCAACAAAAUGCCCAGAAUUCUCCCAAAAAAACCUACGUGAUUGACUGAUUCAAAAAUCCCUUCAGGGUGAGGUCAAGUCCACGAACUACCGUUCCCCCACCGCUCCACCGUUAUGAUAUAGUACAGCCAAAGAAAAAAGUGGCGAGUAAAAGACCACGAACCACGAAAGCGAAAUCCACAGAAACGAACAAAAGGAAACCACCAAUUUCCACAGCGACCGAAACCCCCACGGUCCACGGAAGGCAAUUCAAUCGCACACGCCACGGGUCGGGCGGACGGGGCUCACCUCGUCUCCGUGCCGACCGCCGGCGCCCAGACGCGGCAGAAGAGCGCGUUCCGCCUGGCCCCGGCGAUGACGAACGUGCCGCACGUCCUCCCGUCCGCGUCCGAGUCGUCCUCCGCCAUGGGCACCUCCUCCGCGAGCGCCCGGCGGCGGCGCACGUCCUCCUCCUCCGCGGCCCUGCGCCUGCUCCUGGCCUUCCCGGGGCGGCCGGGCUCCGCCGGGCUGGCGGCGUCGGGGCGGCGGCGGCGGCCGACGAGGAGGAGGAGCCAGAGGAAAAGCGAGUGGAGCGCGACGGCGAGGCGGAGCAGCGCGCGGCGGGACAGCACGGAGCGGAAGACGGGCACGAUCCGGCCCGUGGCGCCCGAAGUCAUCAUCAUCUCGUCGCCGCCCAUCUCCAUGGCUCUCCCCCCCCUGCCGCUGCGCGUUUUUCGUGCUUUACUUUUUCUUCGCGUUUUACGCGGUCGCGGGCUUCGUGGGCCGCCCCCGCGUAUUUAUAGGGGAUGGACAUUUAGACUCUGGCGAGAGCGUGGCCUGCUGUUUCCUUCCUGGAAAUCCGUAUCCUCAAGUUGUUUUUUAUUCAUUUCCUGUUAAUACUAAUAAAUUUAUUUAAGAAGAGGAGUGAGGAGAUGGUGGUCCCAUUAACAGUUGCAACGGAUGAACAGUCCAGCUAACAGCUGUGCCAUGCCACGGUCCCACAUGUCACCCCUCUCACCCGAUUAGUGCAACAUUUAAACACCACAUAAUAUAGAGUAUACGAUCAGUUCGAUAUAUAUGGCACUAAAGGGAUACAGGUACUACAGUAGUAGAUUGCCUUCCCAACCAGUGUACAUACAUUCAUUAUUGACAAUAAAUUAUCGGUAUAGCUAUCCGGCAAACUCGCUGGGGUGAGAUCCCACCGAACACCCCUAGAGCCAACCGAUUUGGAUUGCAUGGUGGUAAUUUUCAUCAAAUAUCCAUGUAAAUUAAACAAAAUGACAUGGCAGUUUUCUAAAAUGUCACCCCACCACAUAAACUGCCACCAUUAAUUUUUCGCAUAUGCUAUCCCGACGUACGACAAACAACUAUCUUUACCUAUUACUAGUACAAAUGUCCGUCCGUUGCAACGGGUAAUAAAUUGCAAUACCUGCUACGCGUGCCCAGUGACGAAUCUUGGAAGAAAAUGAAGGGGACUCAAAGUUAAAUAUGCAUAUAGGAAGUCAAAAUCUCUCAAUUCUUUGGUCCAAAUAAGAUCAAAUGUUUUAUAGAAUAAUAGUAUUUUUUCUUUACUAUUUUUUGGAGGGGUCUCGAGCUUAUCGAAACCGUGCUAGAUUCGCCACUCCACGUGCCAUUACUCACCAUUUCUUACACCCAUUGUCAUAAAUGUGGUCAUAAGUUUAAAUUGAUUAUCACUUUUUGAAGCAUGAAUUGUGGAGAUGAAGAUAUCACCCUGAUAUCCUUCGUUUGAUGGAAGAGUAGUAGUACAUGGAUUAGUAUGAUUAAUCACUUGUCUUUGGAAAAACCUGUGUUGCAACUUGUGAAAACAAAUAUAUCAGAUGUUCCUUCCCACAGUAAGCAUGACUCGAGACCUCCACAAGCCCAUACAAUUUAAAAACACAUCCAUUUGUAUUUCCACUUAUUAUUGUCCUAGCCAUCCAUGACUUGCAGGCGUUCCGCACGGCUAAGCUUAGCCGCUCGAUCGACCUUGUCGGAGUGUGCACCUCGUUUGCCAGUCGACCCCGCCAGCGUAUUAUCCCUACGAGCUCUUUCUCAAACCUCCUUCAAAACAAUCACACCAGUUGGUUUAGUGCCCUUUCAAAUCAUCCUUUCUUGUUGAAAAAAAUGUGGACCAGUCUAGUUCAGCCCAUCCAGGAGUUAGGGGACAGAGCGACAACGGACCAAAACAGAUGAAAUUACGGAAGCAAGAAGUGCGUUGCACCAGGCGUAAAAGAGACACAACAUGCUUCAUGUGCCAUUAUGCACCAUUUUUAAUCCAACUUUGAUAAUCAUUAAUAAUAAGGUGAAAUUACUCAAGCAGCAACCUUGGAUCCGUCCUCACGCAAAUCAACAACCUCCAGGGGCCGGAGCCCAGCCAGACAUAGUUCUCCUUUCAGUUUUGGCACAACUUGCUAAACAAAUCACUAACUACAUUUUAACCAUGGUUGAUAUGAGUAAUAAGGGUCAUACAAAGAUACUUCAAAUGCUUGAUCUCCGCCACCAAAGAAGCAUACACAUACAUGUUUGUGUCCCUCCCAUUCAGAAUAUUCACCGCUGAAAAUGAGUAAAUCUCGAUGCAAGCUGGUACUUUCAUUUGUUAUAUAGCAAUAGAUAACUCCUUCAAGUUCGGACGUGAAGAAGCCAACAUACCAUUCUUCAUCCGAUGGAAGAGUAGUUUUGCAUAGAACAAUCGUUUUUCUUUUGUUUUUCUGAAAACACACAUAAUUCCUUAUUUUUAGUAAACUUAUCAUUUUCAUAAAAACUGGAACGCAUUAGCUUCCACCCACUCAUAUGAUGCAUGCAUCCGGAAUAUAUAUUUCUUCUUAUUCCAUACAUGAUACAUAAUAAUGUUACCAAGAUAGCUUGUCAGGCAACACUGAUACAUUGACACGACAAAAAAGAUAACUAUAUUCAUACCUUGUGAGUUAUAUUCUAAGUAGAAUAUAGAUGACGAAGAACCAAAGCUUCUAUGCAUACUCCUGACAAAAAGAAGAAAUAACAGUCAGCUUUAUGUAAAAAUCAAUUAUGUUGCAGUAAUAGAAAUAUAAGUUACGAAAGGCUGACCAGUUAUUCCUACCCACUAAACAAAUAUGUAGCACUAUCAACCAUAAGCAUUGCAUUAUUGCAUACGACUAAACUUGACAUAUAUAUAACACCGUGCGUCCAAACCUAUUUCAGCAAAAGAAAGAACAAUUCUUUUAGUUUGACUUGAUUUUUAUUAACAAGUAAAAUUGUUGGCAGUGUAGGAUGCCGAAUUUACAUGGACCAUAUCAACCACAAUAAGCUGAUGUUUGCUAUCAGUAUAAAUUUGACUUUCCCAUGUCUGGAUUGCAAGAAUUUUCACGAGCUUACCUGAGUACAAUGUCGCUGGUCCAUCUUCUUGGUAGAAACCAGAUGUGGUCUUGUUGCUGGAGUUUCACUCCGCACUGGGACAUUCCACUAUUGGACGCUCUCGCCGGAUUGGCACAACGACUUGUCUGGCCUCAUGACGAUAUCACUUGUCGUCGAGCCUGGAGCAUUAUACCAUGCUUAUAUCAAGACCCCCAAAACUAAGAUAAGAUACAUAGAAAUCUUAAGAGUAUGUGUCAAAACGACCUGACCAUGAAUUUCAAAAUAUGUUCCGAGGGAAAGUUAGAUAAGAAAAAUGCAGUAUUGUGUUAAUUACUUCCUUGCAUCAAUUGAAAUUGCUAACUCCUGCAGCUAAUUUCACAAAGGAAAGAAGAUGGCAAAAUAAUACAAAGUUUUCAUCCUAUAACCAUAAGUUAACUUGAAACCUGCUACUACCUUAAAAUUGUGGCUGGAGUAAUAUAGAAGCUAGCGUGGACGGACCAAUAUGUAGCAUAACUGCAGAAAAGAAAAAAAAUCUAAGGAGUAAGGACAAAUUAAGAGUGCUGGAUCUGGAGGCCUAUAUCAUAAGAUUUCAGUAGAGACAAAUUAAGAUCUUUAUAGAGAAAAUAACACACCUCUGAAAAAAAAGGAAGGACCAAACUAUGUCAAUGACGUACAUUACUAACCAUGCCCGUACGUUGCAACGGGAGAAACAAACUCUCUCAUCUCUUUCGGGGAAAACAAACGAUACUCUGCUCAACUAAAGCUUACAAUUUCCCAUCAUAAUGAGGCAUAAUUUCCAUCUUGUUUUAGCUUACAAUUUCUUCUCAUAUUAAGGCAUAAUUUUCCAUCUUGUUUUAUUCACAUACACAUGGGUCUGUUUUCGACCGAGCUCUGUUUUACAAUAUAAAUUUUCAUCCUCCCAUUCUCGGCCUAAUCAUCACCCCUUGCUCUACACAACAUUUCUUGAAGAGAAUACAAACACUAUUUUUUCUUCCACCAAUACUUAAAGGAUGCAAGGAAUGUUUUUGUUGUUAAUGUACAUGUGCAUGUGUUUAUGCGGUAAUAAUAUAUGACAAACGACGACACGUGCAUAAUCUAGAAGAUAAUCAUGCUAGCAUAUUCAUGAGAUAGGGAAGACAACAUAUAAAAUCUGAACCUGAAUCAUUGUACUAUUUAGGCUUUUCUUUUCUUUUUAUACAACGUCUUCUGUUCCACAUAUUCCUCUGGAUUUUUCACUUAAACAACUUCGAACACUACUUAACACAUGUUUUCACAUGCUAAAUGCAUUCAGGGCCACAUACAUCGUAACCUACAUUCAACCCAGAAAUUAUGAAAUUUAGUCAAACAUUUACCAAAUUAUUUAGACACUUCUAUCCAACCUAAGAUCAGGCCAAGUCAUGCACGCAUAGGAUAUCAGACGCAUGUGCCUGAAUAUUUGAUCAAGGCUGUUGCAACUCCUCUAGAAAAUAUCCAUGAGGACUGAGACAAAUCUCUAUCUGUACGUAGUAGUUUGCAAGGAGCAUAUACAUACUAUUUUUUGAAAUGCAGCAUAUACAACUGAUACUACUUUAACUGAAAAUAAACCUAUCGUUGUCUGCUCUCCAAUUUCAGAGUAGCAUGGUUUAAUUCAUUCAUGACCUCUGCAUUUUAUUCAGACAGCAGCAUGCACCAAGAUACCUACUUAGAAAGCAAAAUCUUCUCUUUCACAGGGCUAGUGUUUCAUCUAGCUUUAGCGUAUCCUCUCUUUCUCCCUUUGGAUAAGUAGUAUAGUUGAUAACAUACAGACUUAAGAAGUAAAUAGUUGAUGACAGAUGCAAAUCAAUGACAUUGUAGUGUAUGUACCUCAGGUCAGAUCAAGUUUUGGCGGAAAGUGGAAUAUGUGAAGACAGAUUUCCAUUGAAGUCGACGGUAUACAGCCAUGUCUGUGUCAGAAACUUGGCAUGAGGAUGAGCCAUAUAACUGUAGAUUCUCCAGGAGAGUUAGAACACAAAAAACUAUUUGACCUUGCAAUAGAAUUGAAAGGGUUAGGUGAUGUGCGUAUCUCUCUCUGUUGUCUCUACCUCUCUGCUCUCUGUCUUCCUCACAUAUCUCCUUUUUCUCCAGAAGACCAGAACAACAGAUGCAACAAUCAAUGUCUCAAUCGGCCACCGAUCUAGUGCUGGACCGCUUCUCCUCUCUCUGUCCAGGAAGUGGUACACCACAAUGGAACUCAACCACCGAUCUCGUGCUGGAUCCUGCCGACCAUGUCCAGCCUCACAAUAGAUCUAGCAUCUCCCGCACUGGUCAUCCUCACGCUUGCCAUGCGAGAUUCGGAGAGUGGAAGCGGGGGCAGCUGCCAGCGCGAUGAAGCCUCUGGCAGCACACUCGUAGGAUCUGGCGCAGUCGUGAGGCGGGUCGCGAGCCUCCCUCCUACCAGGGCCCCUCCUGCUAUUGGGAAACUCGAAGAGGAAUGGAGAGUGGAGGCGCCGACAGUAGGACGAUGGGUGCCUAAGGGGGUGGGAGGGUAGUCUGGGGGUGGAGGAGAGGUCGAGAGGGCCGGAGGCGGAGGGGAGAGCCAUAGCCCGAGGGCUGGGGAGGGAGAGGCCGGUAGAUCUGGCAUCAUACCUCGCCUGCUCGCGACCGAAGCACUGUAACGACAAUAGAGAGGAGAACGCACCAUACCUCGCCUCCUCGCGACCCAAGCGCCGCCGGCCUCAGCUCCCGUCUUGAUCGAUUCCCUCGUCCUCCUCCUUCCUUCAUGCGCCAAACCAGGACGGGAGCGUUGCGCCCCAACCAUGGCGCCGCCCCGGAGAACCACGAUGCCUUGCAAGGUCCCAUCGUAGCUCGCCUGGAUUCGGAUGCGACAGCCGUUCCCCACGUCGAGUCCAUGCGCCACCGCCGCCCUAUGCGAGUGUCACUCGAUCAGAUCGAACUAAAGAAGGUAUUGCGGGUUGAAUACGAAUAACAACAGGGGCUUUUCUAUAAAAAGGCCGUGGCGGGUUUUCCGACAGAAGCGAUAGCCUCUUUAUUAUUAGGUAAAGAAUAAAGCACAUAUUGCUUCUGUGGUCCGUCGUCGUACUUUUGCAAAAAAACUCCCUGUGGUUUCUGAUAAUUGAACCCGCGGUCCACACGUAACAGUGAAUCUUGAGAAAAACGCUUCGCGAUGGCCCGACCCCACGCGAGCGAGAGCAAACCCUACCCCGAGCCGUUCCCUCGCCGCCGCCGCCACACCUCAUCCCGCUCGCCGCCUCCGCCGGAUUGGGACACGGACUGCGCGCAUCGAUGGACGACAGAGGCGGCGGUGGGCGAGAGAGGAGGGAGGCCGCCGCUGCACUGCUGCGCCGACUCGGACGCCGACGCCGUGUCGUCCGUGGCCAUGGCCGCCGCCGCGACGACGACACCGCGUUGCCCAUCCUCACGCCGUCGUGGCGCCGGCCGGAGAAGAGGCCGUCAAAGAGGCCCAUCGCGGCGCGUGGCGGCCGGCCGCAUCGCCCGUGACUCCGUCAAGCGCGCGCGCACGUACGCCCGGCCAAGGCGGCAAAGGGGGAUCGCUCGUGCCGUGGCGGGGAUCACUCGUGCCGUGGCGUGCUCAUGCUUCGAGUGCUAAAGCAUAUGCUUUCUGGCCCAAAAGGGUCUUCCGGCAACAGCUCCGAUGGGUCUCAGGAUUUGAUUGUGGCGGUGCGCCUUCCGAGAGGCAUCAAAGGAAUGGAAAAAUUGGAGACACUGUCGCAUGUUGAAGCUCCCGGCAAGGUUAAUGAUUUAACUGAUGUUGGUCAUCUAUUGCAGCUGAGUAAACUGGGUGUGAUUCUUUCGGCUGAGAAAGGUGGCUUGGGUGUUCUAUUCCAACAGAUUGAAAAAUUACACGGUUGCCUGCGCUCCUUGUCAAUCCAGAUGAACAAACCACCCAAAGCAGAGGAUACUCUUCCAUUAGCUUCACCUCCAAAACUUCUUCAGAGCCUGAACAUUAGUGGCAUUAGAAGUGGGCUCCUUUUGUGGAUUGUAGAGCUUGAUCAACUUACCAAGUUAACAUUGAGCGAGACUUACCUGGGGGAAGACUAUAUACACAUCCUUGGCAAGCUUGCAUCUAUGCGUUGCCUCAGGCUUCGGUGCAAUACCUAUGCCGGAAGCGGGCCCACAUUCAAUGAUGGAGAGUUCAAGAGCCUCAAGUCGUUGGUAGUUGAUGACGGUGUCAUAGCUAACAUUACCUUCGAAACUGGGACAGUUCCCAACCUUGAGAGGAUUGUUUGGUACAAAAAUAUUGUUAUAAUUAAAUCAUGUGCUAACAUUUGCUCUAUCUGGUUUAUCCUCGUGAGAUCAAAUUUUAUGAUUUAUCGGUUAUGUUAUCGUGGAUCCUAGAGCAAAAUUUAUCUUAUCCUGUGUAGUUGGUCGCCCACACUGGAUAGUUUAACCAGAUUUUCUGAUUGUCUGUCUUGAGUGGAUGUGUACAGGAACCUGCAGGAAAACUUCAAUCGGAGCAAGAGUCGCACCACGGAGAUCUUCUUCCUGUGUAGCUUGACAACUUCAGUAAGACUAGAAUCGAUGUGGUUGCCUUGAGUAAGCAUGCUUAUGUACACGGUAAGAGGCAGUAUGUUUGUCAGGAGCCCGGGUGUGGGAAAGGUAUAUCCGACAAAAAGGGGAUAGAUUUAACAUUACACCUUUACUCGUACAUUAAUGUUAGUGAACUUUCUUGUUUACUAGCAUUGACAGAUUUUUCAGUAAUUUUAGACUCAUACCUGAAAUGUUCAUAAAAGCUUUUUUCUCUAUCUUUUUAUUUACGAGGACCUUUCUCUUUUUGCAUAUUAUUAGCGGAUUUAAGGCCCAAUGAUGUGAAUACAUAUAAUACCUUUGGUUAUGUGUCAGGAAAGAUUCAGUUAAAUGAUCAAUUCACUAAUUAAUCAAUCAGUAAAGACUCAGUUGUUUAAUCCUACUAGAGAGAUACUCCAUGCAUUCAAUCAAUUGUUAGUGUUAAUGGAUUGAUCCAGUACAUUCAUUCAUUCAAAUAAUUUAGUCCUACCUGAGAAAUUUAAGAUCACAUAUGUAUCGAAGUCUUGAUCUUUUUUUCUCGUCCAUGUGCAAAUGCUGCUGAGGAAUAAACAAUGAUCAUGUUUAACCGGAUUAGAUGUAUUUUUGGUCUUCACCUAAGCUCCAGGGGUGUGCCAACAAUCAUUACAGGUUGGUCGACAUGAGUCAGGGACCUGACAUGUUUGAGAAGAUGCAAUCCGAUGGCCGCAGGUGUGAUGUCUUCUUCGACCUAAUUUGUUAUGUGAACGGUGAGGAAUUCUCUGUUCUGUGUUCGUUGGACUUCCAUUUGCUUAAAGUUUUUUUUAUUUAGCUAUUCCGUGCUUGCUGAAAUUCUCAUAUGAUGUGACCUGGUAUUAUUGUUGGAAAUAUGCCCUAGAGGCAAUAAUAAAUUAGUUAUUAUUAUAUUUCUUAGUUCAUGAUAAUCGUUUAUUAUCCAUGCUAUAAUUGUAUUGAUUGGAAACACAAUACUUAUGUGGAUACAUAGACAAAACACUGUCCCUGGUAAGCCUCUAGUUGACUAGCUCGUUGAUCAAAGAUGGUCAAGGUUUCCUGGCCAUAGGCAAGUGUUGUCACUUGAUAACGGGAUCACAUCAUUAGGAGAAUCAUGUGAUGGACUAGACCCAAACUAAUAGACGUAGCAUGUUGAUCGUGUCAUUUUGUUGCUACUGUUUUCUGCGUGUCAAGUAUUUGUUCCUAUGACCAUGAGAUCAUAUAACUCACGGACACCGGAUGAAUGCUUUGUGUGUAUCAAACGUCGCAACGUAACUGGGUGACUAUAAAUAUGCUCUAUAGGUAUCUCCGAAGGUGUUCGUUGAGUUAGUAUGGAUCAAUACUGGGAUUUGUCACUCCGUAUGACGGAGAGGUAUCUCAGGGCCCACUCGGUAAUACAACAUCACACACAAGCCUUGCAAGCAAUGUGACUUAGUGUAAGUUGCGGGAUCUUGUAUUACGGAACGAGUAAAGAGACUUGCCGGUAAACGAGAUUGAAAUAGGUAUGCGGAUACUGACGAUCGAAUCUCGGGCAAGUAACAUACCGAAGGACAAAGGGAAUGACAUACGGGAUUAUAUGAAUCCUUGGUACUGAGGUUCAAACGAUAAGAUCUUCGUAGAAUAUGUAGGAUCCAAUAUGGGCAUCCAGGUCCCGCUAUUGGAUAUUGACCGAGGAGUCUCUCGGGUCAUGUCUACAUAGUUCUCGAACCCGCAGGGUCUGCACACUUAAGGUUCGACGUUGUUUUAUGCGUAUUUGAGUUAUAUGGUUGGUUGUCGAAUGUUGUUCGGAGUCCUGGAUGAGAUCACGGACGCCACGAGGGUUUCCGGAAUGGUCCGGAAACGAAGAUUGAUAUAUAGGAUGACCUCAUUUGAUUACCGGAAGGUUUUCGGAGUUACCGGGAAUGUACCGGGAAUGACGAAUGGGUUCCGGGAGUUCACCGGGGGGGGGGGGCAACCCACCCCGGAGAAGCCCAUAGGCCUUGAGGGUGGCACACCAGCCUUUAGUGGGAUGGUGGGACAACCCAAAAGGGCUCUAUGCGCCAAGCAAAGGAAAAUCAAGAGGAAAGAAAAAAAGGAGGAGGUGGGAAGGAAGGGGGACUCCCUCCCACCAAACCAAGUCCAACUCGGUUUGGGGGGGGAGUCCUCCCCCCUUGGACUCGGCCGACCCCCUUGGGGCUCCUUGAGCCCCAAGGCAAGGUCCCCUCCCUCCCACCUAUAUAUACAGAGGUUUUAGGGCUGAUUUGAGACAACUUUUCCACGGCAGCCCGACCACAUACCUCCACGGUUUUUCCUCUAGAUCGCGUUUCUGCGGAGCUCGGGCGGAGCCCUGCUGAGACAAGGUCAUCACCAACCUCCGGAGCACCGUCAUGCUGCCGGAGAACUCUUCUACCUCUCCGUCUCUCUUGCUGGAUCAAGAAGGCCGAGAUCAUCAUCGAGCUGUACGUGUGCUGAACGCGGAGGUGCCGUCCGUUCGGUACUAGAUCGUGGGACUGAUCGCGGGAUUGUUCGCGGGGCGGAUCGAGGGACGUGAGGACGUUCCACUACAUCAACCGCGUUCACUAACGCUUCUGCUGUACGAUCUACAAGGGUACGUAGAUCACUCAUCCCCUCUCGUAGAUGGACAUCAUCAUGAUAGAUCUUCGUGCGCGUAGGAAAUUUUUUGUUUCCCAUGCGACGUUCCCCGACAAUUAUAUGUGCACAGGCUUUGUUUACAACAUCCUUUAGACUGGUUUUGACUGAUAGAAUUGGGUGAAAGCAGAAUUGCUAUUUGUUAGCUAUGACCUAUGAGUCUGAAAUCUGAAGGCAUAUGCUCUUAUAAUUUGAUACGGAGGGUGUUGUUUCGAUCGUAAGUAAUGGAUCAUAUAUUAUGGUAGGCAACCCAGGUUGAAACCUUAAUAAGGGCACUAAGAUGUAAGAACAUCCUGCAAGUGUUAUGAGUAUAUGUUUCAGUUGCAUAUAGCCUGUUGUUUUGUCUGAAGUAAGCUGUUCUCAAUGGGGUGUGAGAAGUGAAAACACGGAUAUUCUGUGUGAAAGGAAGAGUUUUGGGUAUACCAAUGUGCUCAGAACUUGGUAUUCAUAUGAGAAUCUUCUUUCUGCUGUGCUAUCUGUUUGCUGCAAAUGACAUCAAACCGCACAUCUAAUAUGCGUCAUGGUUACAGGUACACAAGAUCUCAGUCAUGCCCUUCCUGCCGCGGAAGCCUGAAGAGAGUCCAGUCCAGGGACCUGUGGGUGCUCACGGGCGACGACGACGUGAUCGACCCUGUGACCCUGGAGAAGGAGAAUGUGAGGCACUUCCACAGCUUCAUCGACAACCUGCCCCUCAUCGUCCCCGACAACCUUCUGCUGGUCUACUAUGACUACCUGCAUCUGAUAGAAAUUUGCAUUUUUAACUUUAACAUAGAUGUUUAGUAAAAUCAGAUAUAAAAACUGGUGCACAAUGACAUAUGAAUCGGUUAUGCUUUUUUUUACCCGGUGCAACGCACGGGCAUUUGUGCUAGUUGGGGUCCUAAAUUAUUACUAGUACUAGUAUAAAAGAAAAUUUUACUCCACCAAACAACUACCCCCUCCGUUCCUAAAUAUAAGUCUUUUAAGAGAUUUCACUAAGUGACUACAUAUGAAGCAAAAUGAGUUAAUCUAUAAUUUAAAGUAUGUCUAUAUACAUCCGUAUUUAGUUCCUUAUUAAAAACUACUAAAAAGACAUAUAUUUAGGAACGGAGGGAGUAGUAAGUAAUUCUACACAAAAUAUUGGCAUGAUUAUAGUUAUAUGUAUUUUUGUGUGAUUUCCCUUGAAGAUACAGAUCAACAUAUCAUUUGUUGUGCUCCUUAUUCUUGCAAAUGCGGAUGACAACACGCGCGCGCACACACACAAACAUAUGUGCAAACGCACGCGCGCGCACACACACACACACCUCCUCUGCCUAUGGGAUGUCAACAGAGAUCUCUCGGGUUGGUCAAGCAAAGGUUCCUUCGAAAUUACUACAUGGAACAUAUCAGCCAACUAGUUACUAGUCCAAAUAGAUCCUCGAGGGAGGUUCAUGAAACAUUGGAGGGUUGUUCCCGUUAGAAUGGUGAUGAGGUGUUUUCGUCACCUCCUGUGUGCCUCCCUCCACGUAUUGAUCGUAGUGGUUCAGAUGGCUAUGAACACCUCGAGGUCGGUAUUACCAGCAUACCUUUUGAUGGGGUGAGGUCAGAAAUUUUAAGGCCACAUGGUGUAUAUGAGUUCUUAAGAUAAGCAGGACACCCAAACAAUCGCAUGCGAGCCUCGUCGCCAUCAAACUUAUAUCGCCUCAUAUAGCUCUCCGACGCGUCUAAGGUGCAUUGUGAAUCAUGAUGAUUUUAUCCUUCUCAUUAAUUCCAUCUUUGACUGAUGAAGUCGCAUUUAUCAUCAUCGUUUUCAUCCAAUGAGGCAAACACAAAAAUUGAGUGCAAAAAAUAUCUCCUCCCACCCCCAAGACACGAUCAACUUUGACCCAAUCAUAGAGGAUUUCAUAGAUAUUCCAUAUUCAGAUAUUCUUAAGUUCCAAUAGAAAUCCUGUUGGGCCCUCAAGCAUAAAGGUUUGCAUAUAGGCAUUAUCCAACAUUCAUCUAUAGCUAAUACUCCACCCAAAGUCACCUAUAAUCACAUAUAUCUAAGUAUUGACUAAUAAAAUGGAAUAUAUCAUUAGGCAAGUUGGCAUAAUGUUGAUGGUAAUGUAUUCUUUUUACCUCUAGUUCACGACCUACGUAAUUACACCCUCCCUUCCGGUUUAGAGGGCUCAAAUCUGGAAUCUCAUCAACCAAGAUAGAUUGUGAGUGGAUGGCACAAGUUUUGUGAGUACAAGAAUGCCCAAUAUAAAUUAUUUCCACAUGUUCAACUCCCAAAGCAACAAGUGCAUCACCCACCUCUAAGAGCAAGUACAAUAGAGUUCAGUCAGCUGGCUAUAAGAAAUAAAGUAGUAUAUUUUUGCUUAGUUGGAGGAAAGAGAAGAGGAGAGAGAAGGUAAGCGGGCUCUUAGUUAAGAGUCAGCUCUAACACAUGCUCGUAGGUACUUUUGUGAGAGUGAAAGGCGGGCCAUAUAAUAAAAAAGUAGUACACUCUUCUAAUCUACUAUUGUAAAUGUUGACUAUAAGAUGGGAUAUAGAUGACGUGGCAAUGACUUAUAGCCAACACCUCGCUAUACUACUAACCAUGCUCUAAUUGGACUUGCAAGGUGCAUGCAAAAUAAGAUGCAUGCAUGACCACUAUUCCCUCUCUCUCAUCUCUAUGAAUUCAAUGUGGCAUGGACUCAAAGCACUUUAAUUCAAUUGGACUCAAACUAAGCCUAGUAUAAUGGAAAUCUAAAAGAAUUUAGAUAAGGAGGGAGUAUCUUUUUAUCUCGCAAUAACCAAAAAGGAGGGGGUAUCUUUUUAUCUCGCAAUAACACACUACAAGCAUUUUUAUCCGUUUAUCUUUGAGAUAAAAUGCUUGCGCAAUUAAACCCAAUAAACAUGCAAAAUAUAGAACAUCUCUUCAUGGAUGGUGAUUGAGAUGGGGGUUGUUGUUGCAGAUUGAGUGGGCGGAGAUGACCCUAAUGAUGCAUUGGUGUUGAAUGGAUUCGUAUUCCCACAAUUGGAUGUGGUGGAUCUAGUGGGGCCAGCCCUCCAGAAAAAGAGUAUUCUCUAUUCCUCCCAAAUACGGAAAAAUACAUAAUAUUUCGUGUGCGAAUUAGAUGUUAGGGAAGACGAUAUGUAGCAGAGAGAAGGUCAAGGAAUCCAAGUAGGACCCACACAUGAAGAUUGCAUACCCCGGACCUCUCAAUGCUAACCUUGAACCUGAUGCACGGGCUUUGUUAAUCUUGAUCCUGAUGCACGAGCGCUUUCCAUGUUGAUCCUUAUGCACAUGGUGGACUCCCUAUUAAUUUUAUUAAAUUGCCAUGGAUACAUGUGUUGGUAGUGUUGGAAAUAUGCCCUAGAGGAAUAAUGAAUUAGUUAUUAUUAUGUUUCCUUGUUCAUGAUAAUCAUUUAUUAUCCAUGCUAUAAUUGUAUUGAUUGGAAUUCAAAUACAUGUGUGGGUAUAUAGACAAAACACUAUCCCUAAUGAGCCUCUAAGGACUAGCACGUUGAUCAAAGAUGGUCAAGGUUUCCUGGCCAUAGACAUGAGUGGUCAUUUGAUAACGGGGUCACAUCAUUAGGAGAAUGAUGUGAUGGACAAGACUCAAACUAUGAACGUAGCAUGUGAUCAUGUCAUUUUAUUGCUACUGUUUUUCUGCAUGUCAAGUAUAUGUUCCUAUGACCAUGCGAUCAUGUAACUCACUGACACCGGAGGAAUACCUUGUGUGUAUCAAACGUCGUAACGUAACUGGGUGACUAUAAAGGUGCUCUACACGUAUCUCCAAAGGUGUUCAUUGAGUUAGCAUGGAUCAAGACUGGGAUUUGUCACUCCAUAUGACGGAGAGGUAUCUCGGGGCCCACUCGGUAAUACAACAUCACAACAAGCCUUGCAAGCAAUAUGAUUAAAGAGUUAGACAUGGUUUUUUUUAUUAUGAAAUGAGUAAAGAGACUUGCAGGUAACGAUAUUCAAAUAGUAUAGAUAUACCGACGAUCGAAUCUCGGGUAAGUAACAUACCGAAGGACAAAGGGAAUACGGGAUUAACUGAAUCCUUGACAUAGAGGUUCAACCGAUAAAGAUCUUCGUGGAAUAUGUAGGAGCCAAUAUGGACAUCCAGGUCCCACUAUUGGUUAUUGGUCAGAGAAUGUCUCGAUCAUGUCUACAUAGUUCUCGAACCCGUAGGGUCCGCACACUUAAGGUUCAGUGACGUUUCGGUAUUAUUGAGUUAUGAAUGUUGGUGACCGAAAGUUGUUCGGUGUUUGAGAUGAGAUCCCGGACAUCACGAGACCUCCGGAAUGAUCCGGAGGUAAAGAGUGAUAUAUAGGAAAGUUGCAUUUGGCUUCCGGAAAGAUUUCGGGCAUUACCGGUAAAGUACCGGGAGUGACGAAUGGGUUCCGUGGUUUCACUGCGACGGGCCACCCACCCGGGAGGAGACCGAGUAGGCCUAAAGGUGGCGCACCAACACCUAGUGGGCUGAUGUGGCCAUCCCAAUAAAACCUAUUUCGGCCAAGUGUACAAGUAAAAAGGAAAAAGGAAAAAAAGGGAGGAGGAGACCAACUAGGAAGGGAGUCCUCCACCAAACCGAAUUGGGGGAGGACUCUCCUCCCUAGCUCGGUCGAACCUCUCCUCCUUGAGGAGGAGGCAAUGUAGCCCUCCCACCUCUUCCUCCUAUAUAUAGUGGAGGUUUUGAGGGCAACACACACCUGAAAAUCCACGUGCUGCCUGAUACGUCCAUUUUGCAUCAUGCUUUCAUGUUGAUAUUUAUCGCUUUAUGGACUGUUAUUAUACUUUGUGGUACCAUACUUAUGCCUUUUCUCUCUUAUUUUGCAAGGUUUAUUUGAAGAGGGAGAAUACCGGCAGCUGGAAUUCUAGACUGGAAAAGGAGCAAGUCUGAGUCCUCUAUUCUGCGCAACUCCAAAUGCCCUGAAAAUCAACGUGGAUUUUUUUGGGAAUAUAUAAAAAAUACUGGGCGAAAGAACUGUCAGAGGGGAGCAGCCAGGGGCCCACAAGCCUGGUUGCCGCGGCCUACCCCCCUGGCCGUGGCAACAGGGCUUGUGGGCACCUUGGUGGCCCACUGGCCCCCCUCUUUUGCUAUAUGAAGGGUUUCGUCCGAGAAAAAAUCAGGGUGGAGCUUUUUCUUGGAUUCGCCGCCGCCACGAGGCGGAACUUGAGCAAAACCAAUCUAGAGCUCCGGCAGGACGAUCCUGCCGGGGAAACUUCCCUCCCGGAGGGGGAAAUCAUCGCCAUCGUCAUCACCAACACUCCUCUCGUCGGAGGGGAGUCAUCUCCAUCAACAUCUUCAUCAACACCAUCUCCUCUCCAAACCCUAGUUCAUACCAAUCUCCGUCUCGCGACUCUGAUUGGUACUUGUAAGGUUGCUAGUAGUGUUGAUUACUCUUUGUAGUUGAUGCUAGUUGGAUUACUUGGUGGAAGAGUUUAUAUUCAGAUCCUUGAUGCUACUCAUUACACCUUUGAUCAUGAUUAUGAUUAUGCUUCGUGAGUAGUUACUUUUGUUCCUGAGGACAUGGGAUAAGUCAUGCUGAUAAUAGUCAUGUGAAUUUGGUAUUCGUUCGGUAUUUUGAUAUGUUGUAUGUUGUCUUUUCCUCUAGUGGUGUUAUGUGAACGUCGACUACAUAACACUUCACCAUCUUUGGGCCUAGAGGAAGGCAUUGGGGAGUAGUAAGUAGAUGAUGGGUUGCUAGAGUGACAGAAGCUUAAACCCCAGUCUAUGCGUUGCUUCGUAAGGGGCUGAUUUGGAUCCACUAGUUUAAUGUUAUGGUUAGACGUUGUCUUAAUUCUUCUUUCGUAGUUGCAGAUGCUUACGAGAGGGGUUAAUCAUAAGUGGGAUGCUUGUCCAAGUAAGGGCAGUACCCAAGCACCAGUCCACCCAUAUAUCAAACUAUCAAAGUAACGAACGCGAAUCAUAUGAACAUGAUGAAACGAGCAUGACAGAAAUUCCCGUGUGUCCUCGGGAGCGUUUUCCCUCUUAUAAGACUUUGUUCAGGCUUGUCCCUUGCUACAAAAGGGAUUGGGCCACUUUGCUGCACCGUUGCUACUACUUGUUACUUGUUACCUUUCGCUUGCUACGUUUCACCUCACUACACCAUCACUUGUUACCGCUACUUUCAGUGCUUGCAGUUAUUACCUUGCUGAAAACCGUUUAUCAGAGCCUUCUUCUCCUCGUUGGGUUCGACACUCUUACUUAUCGAAAGGACUACGAUUUAUUCCCUAUACUUGUGGGUCAUCACUGCCCUCUCCUCCAUAGAUUGUCUACUUCAUCUAGAUUAGUCCGGCAUAGCUUGGCGAAGCCGUGCUGGAUUAGUUCACCACCACCACCACCACGCCGUCGUGCUGCCAGAGAACUCAUUUACCUCGCCGUCCCUCUUGCUGGAUCAAGAAGGUGGAGAUCAUCAUUGAGCUGUACGUAUGCUGGACGCGGAGGUGCCGUCCGUUCGGCACUAGAUCGGGAUGGACCGUGAUGGGAUCACGGGACGGAUCGUGAUGAGAUCGUGUGACGGAGUGCGAUUUGGAUCACGAAGAUGUUCGACUACAUCAACCGCGUUAUAUACGCUUCCACUUAGCGAUCUACAAGGUACGUGGAUCCGCACUCCCCCUCUCGUAGAUGGUCAUCACCAUGGAUAGAUCUUAUGUGUGCGUAGGAAAUUUUUUGUUUCCCAUGCAACGUUCCCCUUCAGUCGCAUCAUGAGCUAGGUCUAUGCAUAGAUGACAUCUCGAGUAGAACACAAAUUAGUUUGUGGGUGUUGAUAUUCAGAUUGCUGCCCUCCUUAGUCUUUUCUUGAUUCAGCGGUAUUGUUGGAUGAAGCGGCCCGGACAAACCUUACUUGUACGCUCACGAGAGACCGGUGCCAUCAACUGACAUGCAACUUGUUGCAUAAAGAUGGCUAGCGGUUGUCUGUUUCUCCUACUUUAGUUGAAUCGGAUUUGACAAAGGCGGUCCUUGGAGAAGGUUAAAUAGCAACUUGUGUAUCACCAUUAUGGUUAUGCGUAGGUAAGAAUCGUUCUUGCUAGAUACCCAUAGCAGCCAUGUAAAAGAUGCAACAACAAAUUAGAUGACAUCUAACUUGUUUUUGCAGGGUAUGCAUGUGAUGUGAUAUGGCCAAAGACAUGAUAUGAUAUAUUUGAUGUAUGAGAUGAUCAUGUCGUAAUAGUUAAAUAUCGACUUGCAUGUCGAUGCUACGACAACCGGCAGGAGCCAUAGGGUUGUCUUUAAUUAUUUUGCGCUUGGUGAUGCUUUGCUUUAUCGCUAGUUCAGUAGCUUUAGUAGCAAUAGCAUAGUUAACGCGAAAACCUCGAUGGCAGCACAAUGAUGGAGAUCAUGGUGUGGCGUCGGUGACGAUGGAUAUCAUGCCCGUGAUUUGAAGGUGGAGAUCAAAAAGCACAAGUUCAUGGCCAUAUCAUGUCACUUAUGAUUUGCAUGUGAUGUUAAUCCUUUUUAUGCACCUUGUUUUGCUUAGGACGACGGUAGCAUUAUAAGGUGAUCCCUCACUAAAAUUUCAAGAUAAAAUUGUGUUCUCCCCUAGGUUGCACCGUUGCGUAAGUUUGCCGUUUCGAGACACCACGUGAUGAUCGGCUGUGAUAGACUCUACGUUCACAUACAAUGGAUACAAAACAAUUGCAUACGCGAAACACUGGGGUUAAACUUGACGAGCCUAGCAUGUACAGACAUGGCCUCUGAACACAAGAGACCGAAAGAUCGAACAUGACUCAUAUAGUAGAUAUGAUGAACAUAGAGAUGUUCACCAGUAAAGCUAACUCAACUCAUGUCAUGAUCGGACUUGAGUUAAUGAAUUUGGAUCACGCACCACUCAACUGAGCACAGGGUUGUCAAUUUGGGUGGGAGUUCUUAAGUAAUAUGAUUAAUUGAACUCAUUAUCAUGAACAUAGUCAAAAUGCCUUUGCAAAUUAUGUUGUUGUUGGAAAUAUGCCUAGAGGCAAUAAUAAAUUGGUUAUUAUUAUAUUUCCUUGUUCAUGAUAAUCGUUUAUUAUCCAUGCUAUAAUUGUAUUGAUUGGAAACUCAAAUACAUGUGUGGAUACAUAGACAAAACACUGUCCCUAGUAACCCUCUAGUUGACUAGCUCAUUGAUCAAAGAUGGUUAAGGUUUACUAGCCAUAGACAAGUGUUGUCACUUGAUAACGGGAUCACAUCAUUAGGAGAAUGAUGUGAUGGACAAGGCCCAAACUAUAAACAUAGCAUGAUCGUGUCAGUUUAUUGCUACUAUUUCAUGCAUGUCAAUGUAUUUGUUCCUAUGACCAUGAGAUCAUAUGCAACUCCCAGACACCGGAGUAAUACCUUGUGUAUAUCAAACGUCGCAACGUAACAGGGUGACUAUAAAGGUGCUCUACAGAUAUCUCCGAAGGUGUCUAUUGGGUUGGCGUGAAUCGAGACUGGGAUUUGUCACUCCAUAUGACGGAGAGGUAUCUCGGGGCCCAAUCGGCAAUACAACAUCACAAUAAGUCUUGCAAGCAAUGUGACUAAGAAGUUAGUCACGGGAUCUUGUAUUACGGAAGGAGUAAAGAGACUUGCCGAUAACGAGAUUGAACUAGGUAUAGAGAUACCGACGAUCGAAUCUCGGGCAAGUAACAUACCGAAGGACAAAGGGAACAACAUACGAGAUUAAUUGAAUCCUUGACAUAGAGGUUCAACUGAUAAAGAUCUUCGUAGAAUAUGUAGGAGCCAAUAUGGGCAUCCAGGUCCCGCUAUUGGUUAUUGGCCGUAGAGGUGUCUUGGUCAUGUCUGCAUAGUUCUCGAACCCGUAGGGUGUGCACACUUAAGGUUCGAUGACGUUUUGGUAUAGUUGAGUUAUAUGUGUUAGUAACCGAAAGUUGUUCGGAGUCCCGGAUGAGAUCUCGGACAACAGAGGAGCUCCAGAAUGGUUUGGAGUUAAAGAUUGAUACAUAGUAAGUCCUAUUUUGGUCACCGGAAAAGUUUCAGGCUCAUCGGUAGUGUACCGGGAGUGCCGGGAGGGUACCGGGGACCAUCGAGAGGGAUGUCAUGCCCCGAGGGGCCUUAUGGGCUGUGGGAGGAUACAAACCAACCCCUAGUGGACUGACAUAAGCUCCCACUAAGUCCCAUGAGGUUUGAGAAGGAAAGAAACCCAAAGGUGGAAAAGGUGGAAAGGGUUUCCAAGUGGAGAGGAGGAAUCCUACUCCUACUAGGAUUGGAGUAGGACUCUUCCACCUCCAAUUUCGGCCAAACCUUGAGGGUUUGAGGCUGCCUCCUCCCCUCCCUCCCUCCUAUAUAUACUAGAGGUAUUGAGGGUUUUUGAGACACAUAAAAAACAACCACAUGUUGCCCUCUCUCUCUAGAUCUGUUUCUCCUCUAGUCUAGUUUCAGCGGUGCUUAGGUAAAGCCCUGCUAGAAUAGCUCCACCACCACAACCACCAUGCCGCCGUGCUGGAGAACUCAUCUACCUCUCCGCCCCUCUUUCUGGAUCAAGAAGGUGGGGAUCAUCAUCGAUCUGUACGUGUGCUGAACGCGGAGGUGCCGUCGGUUCGGCACUAGAUUGGGAUGGAUCGUGAUGGGAUCGCGGGAUGGAUCGUGAUGAGAUCGCGGGACGGACUGCGAUUUGGAUAGCGAAGAUGUUCCACUACAUCAACCGCGUUAUAUACGCUUCCGCUUAGCGAUCUACAAGGGUAUGUAGAUUCACUCUCUCCUCUCGUAGAUGACCAUCACCAUGGAUAGGUAUUUGAUACGUCUCCAUCGUAUCUACUUUUCCAAACUCUUUUGCCCUUGUUUAAUUUGGACUCUAAUUUGCAUGAUUUGAAUGGAACUAACCUAGACUGACGCUGUUUUCAGCAGAAUUGCCUUGGUGUUAUUUUUGUGCAGAAAUCAAAGUUCUCCCAACGUCGUGAAAAUUUACGGGGAGCAGUUUUGGAAAAAAAGAAAAAUAUCUGCGCCAAGUUCCACCUGAGGGGGUGGGCCACAAGCCCUGGCUCCGCCACCACCCCCCUGGUGGCGGUGGGCAGGCUUGUGGGGCCCACACGGCUCUGCUGGCCCCAACCUCAGGUCUAUAAGUUCACUUUCGUCCCAGAAAAAUUAAAAAGAGAAGUUUUCGUCGCGUUUGCGAUACGGAGCCGCUGCCACCACCUGUUCUUCAUCUGGAGGGCAGAUCUGGAGUCCGUCUUGGGCUCUGGAGAGGGGAAAUCGUCGCCAUCGUCAUCAUCAAUCUUCUUCCCUCUCCAAUUCCAUGAAGCUCUUCGUCGUUCGUGAGUAAUCUAUUCGUAGGCUCGCUGGGCGGUGAUGAGUAGGAUGAGAUCUAUCAUGUAAUCGAGUUAGUUCUGAUGGUGAUUGAUCCCUAGUAUCCACUAUGUUUUGAGAUUGAUGUUGCUACUACUUUUCCAUGCUUAAUGCUUGUCACUAGGGCCCGAGUGCCAUGAUUUCAUAUCUGAAAUUAUUAUGUUGUCACCAAUAUAUGUGUGUUUUAGAUCCGAUCUUGCAAGUUGUAGCUACCUACUAUGUGUUAUGAUCCGGCAACCCCGGAGUGACAAUAACCGGAACCACUCCCGGUGAUGACCAUAGUUUGAGGAGUUCAUGUGUUCACCAAUUGCUAAUGCGUUGGUCCGGUUCUUUAUUAAAAGGAGAACCUUAAUAUCCCGUAGUUUCCUUUUGGACCCCGCUGCCACGGGAGGGAUGGACAAUAGAUGUCAUGCAAGUUCUUUUCCCUAAGCACGUAUGACGACCCACGGAAUGCAUGCCUGCAUCACAUUGAUGAACGGGAGCUAGACACAUAUCUCUCCGUGUUAUAACUGUUGCAUGAUGAAUAUCAUCCAAACAAAUCACCGACCCAUUGCCUACGAGUUUGUCCUACUGCUGAUGUUACUUGUUUUGCUCUGCUGUUGUUACUACUGUUGCUGCUGCUACUGUUGCUACUACUGUCGCUUGCUACUAUUGGUACUUGCUACUGCUGUCACUACUGUUGUUCCUUGCCACUGCCGUUACUCUCUACUUUGCUGUUACUACUUUGCUUGCAGAUACUAAUCUUUCAGGUGUGGUUGAAUCUGACACAUUCAGCCGCUAAUACUUGAGAGUAUUCUCUCACCUCCUGUUUGGCGAAUCAACAAAUUUGGGUCGAAUACUCUACCCUCGAAAACUGCUGCGAACCCACGCGCUGGUGGGCCGUCAACAACAUUCUGCUAGUUCCAUUACUGGGGAGUGCUAGCAGCAUUCUUCUGGUGCCGUUGCAGGGGAAGCUUUGUUGUCACAGAAUCAGCAUUCGUCUAGCUAUUUCCAGAGAGUGCCAGUCAGCAUUUUUCUGGCGCCGUUGCCGGGGAGGUAUUGCUAUAUUCUGUGAGUCACUUGGGAUUUAUAUCUGCUGAUCACUAUGAAGAAUCUGAAGGAUCCGAAAACCAAAGUCUUGCCCUCAACUACGAGGGGAGGUAAGGAAUUGCCAUCUAGCUCUGCACUUGAUUCACCUUCAGUUAUGAGUAAGUUUGCGACAUCACCUCCUGCUAGAAAUCUUGAUAUGUCGCCUGUGCUUGAUGAUGCUUAUGAUGCUACUGCUAGAGAUGCUAUGCUUGAUACUUCUAGAGAUGCUAAGCUUGAUACUGCUUUGCCUGAUGAUGCUAGAGAUGCUAUUUUGCCUGAUGUUGCUAUGCUUGAUACUGCUAGAGAUACUACUUUGCCUGAUGUUCCACUAGGGGUGUUCCUUGAUGCUCAUAUUGCUAGAGUUACUCCCAAUGCUCGUGAUACUUCUGAAACUACCGAUACUAUUGAGAUAGAACCUGCUUUUGCUCCUGCUAGAUCUAGCUCUCCUAGAUAUGAAUUGCCUGAUAUACCUGAGGGUUACGUUAUGGAGGGAGAGAUAGCUGAGGAUUUUCUUACGUGUAAGGAUGCCUAUGACGCUGAGAAAUUACUUCUCAAGUGGAAGGAAAAAUCUCGGGAAGCUAAGAUGAAAUAUGACCCGAAGUUUGCCACUUCACCUAUCUUUAUCACCGAUAAGGAUUAUGAAUUCUCUGUCGACCCUGAGAUAAUCUCUCUAGUCGAAUCUAAUCCUUUUCACGAUUAUGAGUCUGAGACUGUCGUAGCCCAUCUUGCCAAACUACACGAUAUAGCCACCCUUUUCACUAAUGAGGAGAAGAUCCACCGCUACUAUAUCCUUAAGCUGUUUCAUUUCUCUCUAAAGGAUGACGCUAAAGCCUGGUUCAUCUCUCUUGCUCCUGGAUGUGUGAGUAGUCCCCGGGAGAUGGUCUAUUACUUCUGUGAGAAAUAUUUCCCUGCCCAUAAGAAGCAAGCUGCCUUGCAGGAAAUAUACAACUUUGCUCAACUCCAAGAAGAGAGUCUCCCACAAGCUUGGGGGAGGCUCGUCCAGCUACAGAAUGCUUUGCCUGAUCACCCUCUUAAGAAGAACGAGAUACUUGAUAUCCUCUAUAACGGACUUACUGAUGCCUCUAGAGACCACCUAGAUAGUUGUGUCGGUUGUGUUUUUAGGGAACGAACUAUAGAACAAGCUGAGACCCUACUGAAUAACAUCGUGAUCAACGAUAAUGCUUGGACUAUUCCUGAACCACCUCCGAAGCCAACUCCUAAGAAAAGAGGUAUUCUAUUCCUCAGUUCUGAAGAUAUGCAAGAAGCCAAGAAAUCCAUGCAAGAGAAAGGCAUUAGAUCUAAAGAUAUCAAAAAUCUACCACCUAUCGAAGAGAUCCAUGGUCUCGAUAACCCGAUAUAGGUAGUGGUAGUGAAUUCUCUGCGUAGGUUUGAUGAGAGUGAUAUUCCUUUUGAUAAACCUGCUAGCCUAUGCUUUGAUGAAUUUGAAAACUUUGUUGCCAAACAACAGAGUUUCAAUGAUUAUGUUAGCAGACAUUUGGAACAAAGUACUCGUAUGCUUAGCCAUUUAAGUGCUUGUGUAGACAGAAAUAUAAAUGCUCUGAAGCUUCUGAGUAAACAUGACUCUAUGAUUACUACUCAGGUAGAACAAGUACUUAAAGCUUAUAAUAACUUGCUCAAUGAAUUACAGGACAACUCUGUCAGAGUCAUUACUAGAGGAGGCAAAAUGACUCAGGAACCUUUGUAUCCUGAAGGUCAUCCUAAGAGAAUUGAUCAAGAUUCUCAAGGAGUCAAUGCUGAUACACCUAGUCAUCCUAAGGAGAAGAAGAAGGAUGAUAGAAACCUGCAUGCCAGUUCACCAAAUACUGUCACACCUAAAGAACCUAAUGAUAUUUCUGCGUCUGAUGCAGAAACACAAUGUGGUGAUGAACAUGAACCUGGUGACAAUAUGGACAAUGAUGUUCAUAAUAAUGCUCAACCUAGCAAUGAUGAGGAUGUGGAGAUUGAACCUACGGUUAAUCCUGAUAACCCACAACCUUAGAAAUAUGAUAAGAAUGACUUCACUGCUAGGAAGCAUGGUAAAGAAAGAGAGCCAUGGGUUCAGAGACCUAUGCCCUUCCCUCCUAAGCAAUCCAAGAAAAAGGAUGAUGAGGAUUUUGAGCGCUUCGUUGAGAUGAUUUGACCCAUCUUUCUGCAGAUGCGGUUAACUGAUAUGCUCAAGAUGUCUCCGUAUGCCAAGUACAUGAAAGAUAUCGUGACUAAUAAACGGAAGAUACCGGAUCUUGAGAUCUCCACCAUGCUUGCCAACUACACUUUCAAAGGUGGAAUUCCUAAGAAACUUGGUGAUCCCGGAGUGCCCACUAUACCUUGCUCCAUUAAAGGAAACUACGUAAGAACUGCCUUAUGUGACCUUGGAGCGAGUGUUAGUGUUAUGCCACUCUCUCUUUAUCGUAGACUUGAGUUGGAUAAGUUGACACCCAGUGAAAUUUCUCUGCAAAUGGCCGACAAGUCAGCUUCUUUCCCUAUCGGCCUUUGCGAGGAUGUGCCUGUUGUGGUUGCUAACACCACUAUCUUAAGAGACUUUGUUAUCUUGGAUAUUCCCGAGGACGAUGUCAUGGCUGUCAUCCUCGGAAGACCCUUUUUAAAUACUGCAGGGGCUGUUAUAGAUUGCAACAAAGGCAAUGUCACUUUCCAUGUCAACGGUAAUGAGCACACAGUGCACUUUCCGAAGAAACGAUAUCAAGUACAUUGCAUCAAUGCUAUCGAAAAGACUUCAUCGAUUCUCAUUGGGAUCUUUGAAUGUCCUAUUCCUCAUGUCAAGAUGAAGUAUGAUUUUCUUGUUGGGGAGAUACAUAUCCCCAUUGAGGUGACUUAGUGGCUAUUAGAAAUUUCUCCGUUCUCUCUUGUGAUUCGAGAAGGUUUUGUCAUAAGGACUUGAUCAAUCCCAUUGACGGAUUUCUUCCGAUGACCAUGAAACGGAUGAAUCAAAGAGCCACAUACCUCCGUUUAGAGCUUUCAUUUUCUUUUGCUUAGAAGAAAAAUGAUAGAAUUAGUUUAGCUUUUCCUGUUUUCUGUUUUAGCGUCCCGGAGAAAAAUACCUCAAAAAUAAAAGUUCUCCGAUGGUCCUGAAAAUUUAGUAUGAUUUUUUUUGGAAUUUUUGAAAAUUUCUGGGCCUAAGAGCUGGCCUGGGGGCCAGACCAGUGGGCCACAAGCCCUACCACCGCCACCUACCCCCUUGGUGGCGGAGUGCAAGCUUGUGGGGCCCACAUGGACCCCCUCCACUCAUUCCAGCUCCCAGCCUCUUCUUCCACCUCCAGGAAAAAUUGUUUCGCAGCUCAAACCCGUGUUCUUGCUCACUUGGCUGUAAUUUUCGAUCUCCUUGCUCAAAGCACCAUUCUUCGAACCGUUUUGGGGAAAUUACUCCUUCGUAAGUGACUCCUCCAUUGGUCCAAUUAGUUUUUUCUCUAGUGCUUUAUCCUUCGCGAAUUCUUGCUACCUUGGUGACCCUGUUCUUGAGCUUGAAAGGUUGAUUUUAGCUGGUCCCAAGUAGUUUUAGCGCGUGAUACGGUCUCUAGGCACUAGUAGGAGUAGUUGCUACAAGGUAUGUGAUACGUCCAUUUUGCAUCAUGCUUUCAUGUUGAUAUUUAUUGCUUCUUGGGCUGUUAUAUUACUUGUGGUACCAUAUUUAUGCCUUUUCUCUGUUAUUUUGCAAGGUUUAUUUGAAGAGGGAGAAUUCAGGCAGCUGGAAUUCUGGACUGGAAAAGGAGCAAAUCCUAGUCCACUAUUCUGCACAUCUCCAAAUUCCGUGAAUAUUUACAUGGAUUUUUUCUGGAAUAUAUUAAAAAUACUCGGUGAAAGAACUACUGGAGGGGGGCCACGAGGGCCCCACAAGCUUGCCCACCGCCACCACCCCCCUGGUGGCGUAGGGAAGGCUUGUGGGCUUCCUGAAGGCCCACUAGCCCCUCUCUUUUGCUAUAUGAAGCGUCCUGGCCUGGAAAAAAUCAAUAGGGAGCUUUUUCGUGGUUUCGCCGCCGCCACGAGGCGGAACUUGAGCAGAUCCAAUCUAGAGCUCUGGCAGGACGAUCCUGCCGGGGAAAUUUCCCUCCCGGAGGGGGGAAUCGUCGCCAUCGUCAUCACCAACACUCCUCUCGUCGGAGGGGAGGCAUCUUCAUCAACAUCUUCAUCAGCACCAUCUCCUCUCCAAUCCUUAGUUCAUCUCUUGUAACCAAUCUUCGUCUCGCAACUCAGAUUGGUACUUGUAAGGUUGCUAGUAGUGUUGAUUACUCCGGGUAUGAUUAUGAUUAUGUCUUGUGAGUAGUUACUUUUGUUCCCGAGGACAUGGGAUAAGUCAUACUCAUAAUAGUCAUGUGAAUUUGAUAUUCGUUCGGUAUUUUGAUAUGUUGUAUGUUGUUUUUCCUCUAGUGGUGUUAUGUGAAUGUCGACUACAUAACACUUCACCAUAUUUGGGCCUAGAGGAAGGCAUUGUGAAGUGGUAAGUAGAUGAUGGGUUGCUGGAGUGACAGAAGCUUAAACCCCAGUCUAUGCAUUGCUUCGUGAGGGGCUGAUUUGGAUCCACUAGUUUAAUGCUAUGGUUAGACUUUGUCUUAAUUCUUCUUUUGUAGUUGCGGAUGCUUGCGAGAGAGGUUAAUCUUAAGUGGGAUGCUUGUCCAAGUAAGGGCAGUACCCAAGCGCCGGUCCACCCACAUAUCAAACUAUCAAAGUAACAAACGCGAAUCAUAUGAACAUGAUGAAACUAGCAUGGCAGAAAUUCCCGUGUGUCCUCGGGAGCGUUUUUCCUCGUAUAAGAAUUUGUUCAGGCUUGUCCCUUGCUAUAAAAGGGAUUGGGCCACUAGCUGCACCAUUGCUACUACUUGUUACUUGUUACUCUUUGCUUGCUACGUUUCACCUCGCUACACAAUCACUUGUUACCGCUACUUUCAGUGCUUGCAGUUAUUACCUUGCUGAAAUCCGUUUAUGAGACCCUUUUGCUCCUCGUUGGGUUCGACACUCUUACUUAUCGAAAGGACUACGAUUGAACCCCUAUACUUGUGGAUCAUCAAGACUCUUUUCUGGCACCGUUGCCGGGGAGUGAAGUGCCUUUGGUAAGUGGAAAUUGGUAAGGAAACAUUUAUAUACUGUGCUGAAAUUUAUUGUCACUUGUCUCUAUGGAAACUCUUCCUUUGAGGAGUUUGUUCGGGGUAUCUUCACCACGAACGGAAGCACGAGGAGUUUCUCCUCAACCGGAGGUACCUACAGAAAAUAUCUUUUAUGAAAUUCCUUUGGGUAUGCUUGAGAAACUGCGGCUAAUCCUUUUACACGAGAUGGAUCUUCACAUCCAGACUUUCAUCUAAUCUAUGUAGAUGAAGUUUGUGGUUUAUUUAAGCUUGCAGGUUUGCCCAAGGAUGAGGUAAAGAAGAAAGUCUUUCCUUUAUCUUUGAAGGAUAAGGCGUUGACAUGGUAUAGGCUAUGUGAUGAUGCUGGAUCAUGGGGCUACAAUCGGUUGAAAUUGUAAUUUCAUCAAAUGUUCUAUCCUAUGCAUUUAGUAGAUCGUGAUCGGAACUUUAUUUAUAACUUUUGGCCUCGUGAUAGGGAAAGCAUAGCUCAAGCUUGGGGAGGCUUAAAUCAAUGCUAUAUUCAUGCCCCAAUCAUGAGCUCUCGAGAGAAAUCAUCACUCAAAACUUUUAUGCUUGGCUUUCUCAUGAAGAUCGUACCAUGCUUGACACUUCUUGUGCCGGUUCUUUAUGAAGAAGGAUAUUGAUCACAAGUGAAAUUUAUUGGAGAGAAUCAAACACAACUCUGAAGAUUGGGAGCUGGAGGAAGGUAAGGACUCAGGUAUGAAUUUCCAGUUUGAUUGUGUUAAAUCUUUUGUUGAGACAAACACUUCUAGAGAUUUUAGCGCUAAGUAUGGACUUGACUCUGAGAUAGUAGCUUCUCUAUGUGAAUCUUUUGCUGCUCAUGUUGAUCUUCCCAAAGAGAAGUGGUUUAAAUAUCGUCCUCGUGUAGAAAGCAACAUAGCCAAAACCAAUCUAGUUGAGGAGAAAAUCAUAGCUUUUAGUGAUCCUGUUGUUCCUUGUGCUUACACUGAGAAACCACCAUACCCUGCUAGGAUGAAGGACUAUUCUAAAGCUCCAACUGUGAUACGUAGGGGUUACAUUAGACCACUUGCACCCCCCGAGGAGAUUAGAGUUGAACCUAGUGUUGCUAUUAUCAAAGAUCUCUUAGCCGAAGACAUAGACAGGCAUGUUAUUAAAUUCUGUGAGGACUCCGCUAGAAUUGCUAAACCUCACGUGAAAGACAAGCACGGACCUGUAGUUGGCCUGCCCGUUGUUUCUGUUAAGAUAAGAGAUCACUGUUAUCAUGGUUUAUGUGAUAUGAGAGCUAGUGUUAGUGCAAUACCCCGUUCUCUCUAUGAUGAAAUCAAAGAUGAGAUUGCACCUGCUGAGUUACAACCCAUUGAUGUCACUAUUACGUUAGCUAAUAGAGACACUAUCUGCCCUCUGGGAAUUGUGGGAGACGUAGAAGUCCUGUGUGGUAAGACGAAGUAUCCUACUGAUUUCCUCGUCCUUGGUACUGCACAAGAUAGCUUUUGUCCCAUCAUAUUUGGUAGACCCUUUCUCAACACUGUCAAUGCUCACAUUGAUUGCAUUAAGCAGACUGCCACAGUAAGUUUUGAGGGUGUGCCUCAUGAAUUUAACUUCUCCAAGUUUGGAAGACAACCCCAUGAAAGAGAGUCGUCUGGUAGAGAUGAAAUCAUUGCUCUUGCCUCUAUUUCCGUACCUCCUACGGAUCCUUUAGAGCAAUAUCUUCUUGAGCAUGAAAAUGAUAUGCAUAUGGAGGAGAGAGAUGAGAUAGAUAGAAUUGUCUUAGAACAAUAUCCUAUUCUCAAGAAUAAUCUGCCUGUUGAACUGCUUGGGGAUCCUCCCCCACCAAAGGGAGAUCCUGUGUUCGAGCUUAAACAGUUGCCUGAUACUCUUAAGUAUGCCUGUCUUGAUGAGAAGGAGAUAUAUCCUGUCAUUAUUAGUGCUCUCCUCUCAGAGCGCGAAGAGAAGAAGUUACUAAAAACUCUGAAGAAGCACCGCGCUGCUAUUGGAUAUACUCUUGAUGAUCUUAAGGGUAUUGGUCCUACUCUAUGUCAGCACAAGAUUAAAACCGAUCCUGACUUUAAGCCAGUUGCUGAUCAUCAAAGGAGAUUAAAUCCUAAGAUAAAAGAGGUCGUUACAAAAGAAAUAUUAAAGCUUAUGGAAGCAGGAAUCAUUUAUCCUGUUGCUCAUAGUGAUUGGGUAAGUCCAGUACAUUGCCUACCUAAGAAGGGAGGUAUCACCGUCGUUCCUAAUGAUAAGGAUGAACUAAUCCCACAAAGUAUUAUUACCGGCUAUAGAAUGGUGAUAGACUUCCGGAAACUGAACAAGGCAACCAGGAAAGAUCAUUAUCCUUUGUCGUUCAUCGACCAAAUGCUAGAAAGGUUAUCAAAACACACACACUUCUGCUUUCUAGACGGUUAUUCAGGUUUCUCGCAAAUACCCGUUGCACAGUCUGAUCAAGAGAAAACCACUUUCACCUGCCCUUUCGGUACCUUUGCCUAUAGAUGUAUGCCUUUUGGCUUAUGUAAUGCACCCGCCACCUUCCAAAGAUGUAUGAUGGCUAUAUUCUCUGACUUUUGUGAAAAGAUUGUCGAGGUUUUCAUGGAUGACUUCUCUGUUUACGGGUCUUCCUUUGAUGAUUGCCUCAGCAACCUUAAUCGAGUCUUACAGAGAUGCGAAGAAACCAACCUCGUCUUGAAUUGGGAGAAGUGCCACUUUAUGGUUAAUGAAGGUAUCGUCUUAGGACACAAAAUCUCUGAAAGAGGCAUUGAAGUUGAUAAGGCUAAGGUUGAUGCAAUUGAGAAAAUGCCUUGCCCCACAGAUAUCAGAGGUAUACGAAGUUUCUUAGGUCAUGCUGGUUUCUAUAGAAGGUUCAUUAAAGACUUUUCUAAGAUUUCUAGGCCUCUUACCAACCUCUUGCAGAAGGAUGUUCCUUUUGUUUUUGAUGAGGAUUGUGAGGAAGCCUUCGAAAUACUUAAGAAGGCUUUGAUAACCGCACCUAUUGUUCAACCACCUGACUGGAACUUGCCCUUUGAAAUCAUGUGUGACGCUAGUGAUUAUGCUGUUGGUGCUGUUGUAGGACAAAGAGUUGACAAGAAGUUGAAUGUCAUUCACUACGCUAGUAAAACUCUAGACAGUGCCCAAAGAAACUAUGCCACUACGGAGAAGGAAUUUUUAGCAGUCGUGUUUGCAUGUGAAAAGUUCAGAUCUUACAUAGUUGACUCCAAAGUCACUAUUCAUUCUGAUCAUGUUGCUAUUAAGUACCUUAUGCAGAAGAAGGACGCUAGGCCUAGGCUGAUCAGAUGGGUUCUCCUGCUACAGGAAUUUGAUUUGCACGUCGUUGACCGAAAAGGUGCGGAUAACCUUGUAGCAGAUAACUUGUCUAGGCUAGAGAAUGUCCUUGAUGACCCACUACCAAUUGAUGACAGCUUUCCUGAUGAGCAAUUAAAUGUCAUCCGCACUUCACUUAGUGCACCGUGGUAUGCCGAUUAUGCAAACUAUAUCAUAGCCAAAUACAUACCACCCAGUUUCACCUAUCAACAAAAGAAGAAAUUCUUCUUUGAUUUGAGACACUAAUUUUGGGAUGAUCCUCACCUUUAUAAGGAAGGAGUAGAUGGUGUUAUUAGACGUUGUGUGCCUGAACAUGAACAGGGACAGAUCCUGUAGAAGUGUCAUUCCGAAGCCUACGGAGGACACCAUGCUGGAGAUAGAACUGCCCACAAGGUAUUGCAAUCAGGUUUCUAUUGGCCCACUCUCUUCAAGGAUGCUCGUAAGUUUGUCUUAUCUUGUGACGAAUGCCAAAGGAUAGGGAACAUUAGUAAGCGUCAAUAGAUGCAUAUGAACUAUUCACUUGUCAUUGAACCAUUUGAUGUCUGGGGCUUUGAUUAUAUGGGACCCUUCCCGAGUUCCAAUGGGUACACUCACAUCUUAGUUGCUGUGGAUUACGUUACUAAGUGGGUAGAAGCUAUCCCCACUAAAAAUGUUGAUCACCACACCUCUAUUAAGAUGCUUAAAGAAGUCAUAUUCCCAAGAUUUGGAUUCCCUAGAUACUUGAUGACUGAUGGUGGUUCACACUUCAUUCAUGGUGUUUUCCGCAAGAUGCUAGCUAAGUAUGAUGUCAACCAUAGAGUUGCAUCUCCUUAUCAUCCUCAGUCUAGUGGUCAAGUGGAGUUGAGUAAUAGGGAGAUCAAGUUGAUCCUACAAAAGACCGUCAAUAGAUCUCGAAAGAACUGGUCUAGCAAACUUGACGAUGCACUAUGGGCUUAUAGGACUGCUUAUAAGAAUCCCAUGGGCAUGUCACCGUAUAAAAUGGUUUACGGUAAGGCCUGUCAUUUACCUCUUGCGUUGGAACACAAAGCUUAUUGGGCAAUCAAAGAGCUCAACUUUGAUUUCAAACUUGCCGGUUAGAAGCAGUUGUUUGAUAUCAGCUCGUUAGAUGAAUGGAGAGCCCAGGCAUAUGAGAAUGCCAGGUUGUUCAAGGAAAAGGUUAAGAGAUGGUACGACAAACGAAUACAGAAACGAGAGUUCAAUGUAGGUGAUUAUGUCUUGCUAUACAAUUCUCGUUUGAGAUUCUUUGCAGGCAAGCUUCUCUCUAAAUGGGAAGGUCCCUAUGUUGUCGAGGAAGUAUAUCGUUCCGGUGCCAUCAAAAUCAAUAACACGGAAGGAAAUUUUCCUAGAGUGGUAAAUGGGCAAAGAAUCAAGCAUUACAUCUCUGGUACUCCCAUAAAUGUUGAGACCAAUAUCAUCAAUGUCAUAACUCCAGAGGAGUACAUAAGGGAUGUUUAUCAGCCUGUUUCAGACCUUGAAAACGAAGAUGUAUCUGUUUCGCAAGAAAUUGUACUCCGAUACUUUUCCAAUAGAAAAUUUCCUCAGUUUUGGAAUUUUUGGAAAAUUAGAAAAAUAAAAAUAAGUCCGGAGAGCAAACGAGGAAGCCACAAGGGCCCACUCCGCCACCACCCCCUGGUGGCGGUGGGCAAGCUUGUGGGCACCUCGUAUGCCUCCCGGACUCCGUUUUCUUGCGGAGGACUCCUUCUGGCCCAGAAAAAAAAUCAAUAUAUAGUUGCCCGAAGGUUUUGAUCUCCGUAUCACGUAGUUUUCCUCUGUUUUUGUUUCGAGCUUGUUGUCUGCCGCAGAUUUAGAGAAAAGAUGUCUCAGGAAUCUGUUGGGGAGAAUGAUCUUCACCAAGUUCAUGAGGAAGUAGAUGCUGAUCUGAAAAGAGUAGAAGUUACAGAAGCCAGGGACCAAGCUAAGGAUAAAACCCAAGCUAGGGAGGAAGUUCAACCUAUGUCAACAUUGAAGACGUUGAAGGAGUAGACUUUCUCCAACCCUUCCUCCACAUGCUGUCUCCAUCCUUGAUUGAAGUCUUGAGGUUUUGCAAAACAACUCGUGCUCACAAUAUUUAUCUUUCUCGUGAAGUUGUUUUGCUGGAAAACCAUGUCACAGAUCUCAAAGGUAUAAAUCAAAGGUUGAUAGCUUUCUUGGAAUCAAAGGCGACAACAACACCACCAUCACCACCAAAGGAAGACAACUAAGCAUUGGUAUGGGCAAUCCCCUUCGCUUCUGCCAAGCUUGGGGGAGUUGCCCUGGUAUCGUAUCACCUUUAUAUCUUUUGCUUUUACCUUUGUUUUAGUUCUUUCCUUUUCAGUUUUUAUUUCUUCUUUUAGAGGAAUAAGUCUUUAGUUUGUAGUUUGAGUCUUUUGCUUUUGUCUCUCCCCCGAUGUAUUCGAGCUUACGAGCUAUAUAAUAAAGAGUGUCUUAGUCAAGGGCUUUGCUUUGUGCCAUGAUCAAAGAGUAUGAAAAGAAUGAUAGCAUGAAAGAUCAUGAGACGAUCUUAUGGAAAGUGAUAACUUCACUUAUGACAUGUAUGAUGAUUGAAACGUGUUGAGAAUAAAUCAACAUAGACAUUAGUCAUUGUUGCAAUUAAUAAGAAGUAAUAAGGAAAGAGUGGUCCACAUAUAAAUAUAUCAUCUUAGACACUUUUUACAAUUGUGAGCACUCACCAAACUAUUACAUUCCUAGGAGUAGAUGUUGAACAAGGAAGACAACAUAAUGAAUUGUGUUUGCUUGGUUCCAAACAAUGUUAUAUGAUUAGAGAUCCCUUAGCAUGUGACGAUUGCUUCCACCUCAUAUUAGCCAAAACCCCCGCACCAAGUAGAGAUACUACUUGUGCAUCCAUAAACCUCAAACCAGUUUUGCCAUGAGAGUCCACCAUACCUACCUAUGGAUUGAAUAAGAUCCUUCAAGUAAGUUGUCAUCGGUGCAAGCAAUAAAAAUUGCUCUCUAAUAUGUAUGAUCUAUUAGUGUGUGGAAAAUAAGCUUUGUACGAACCUGUGAUGAGGAAGACAUAAAAGCGACAGACUGCAUAAUAAAGUUCUUUGUCACAUGAGGCAAUAUAAAGUGACGUUUCUCCGCACUAAGAGGACAUGCAUCCAAACCUCAAAAGCGCAUGACAACCUCUGCUUCCCUCUGCGAAGGGCCUAUAUUGUACCUUUACUUUUUACCCUUGUAAGAGUCAUGGUGAUCAUCACCAAUUCCCUUUUUGCCCUUGUCUUGGCUACCGUCACAUUCUUGGGAAAGAUCUAUAUUCAUAUAUCAACUUGGAGUUGAGUACUCAUGCUUUAUUAUUGUUGACUUUACCCUUGAGGUAAACCGUUGGGAGACAAAACUAUAAGACCAUAUCUUCCUCUGUGUGUAGCUGAAGCUUUGACACCAUGAGUACCACGUGAGUUAUAACAAUUGUGGAAAAUAAAAGAGAUGAUUGAGUAUGUGGGUUUGCCUUACUAGCUCUUAUUUGACUCUUUCUGAUGUUGUGAUAAAUUGCAAUUGCUUCAGUGACUAUUGAUUAUUGUUGGUUACUUCUCGGUAAGGUUUUUGCUUCAUGCUUUGCUUUGUGAAGGAAUUGUUACUUUCCCAUAAGAAUAUUUAUGAUAUAUUAAUGUUCUAUGUGUGAUCAUGAUGCCCUCAUGUUCGUAUUAUGUUUUAUCGACACCUUCGUCCCUCAACAUGUGGACAUGUUUAUGGAACUUGGUUUUCGCUUGAGCACAAGCGAGGUCUAAGCUUGGGGGAGUUGAUACGUCCAUUUUGCAUCAUGCUUUCAUGUUGAUAUUUAUUGCUUCUUGGGCUGUUAUAUUACUUGUGGUACCAUAUUUAUGCCUUUUCUCUCUUAUUUUGCAAGGUUUAUUUGAAGAGGGAGAAUUCAGGCAACUGGAAUUCUGGACUGGAAAAGGAGCAAAUCCUAGUCCACUAUUCUGCACAUCUCCAAAUGCCCUAAAAAUUUACGUGGAUUUUUUUUGGAAUAUAUUAAAAAAUACUGGGCGACAGAACUACUGGAGGGGGCCACCACGGCCCCACAAGCUUGCCCACCGCCACCACCCCCAUGGUGGUGCAGGGCAGGCUUGUGGGCUGCGUGAAGGCCCACUAGCCCCCCUCUUUUUUUUAUAUGAAGCGUCCUGGUCUGGAAAAAAAUCAAUAGGGAGCUUUUUCGUGGUUUCGCCGCCGCCACGAGGCGGAACUUGAGCAGAUCCAAUCUAGAGCUCCAGGAGGACGAUCCUGUCGGGGAAAUUUCCCUCACGGAGGGGGGAAUCGUCGCCAUCGUCAUCACCAACACUCCUCUCGUCGGAGGGGAGGCAGCUUCAUCAAUAUCUUCACCAGCACCAUCUCCUCUCCAAUCACUAGUUCAUCUCUUGUAACCAAUCUUCGUCUCGCAACUCAGAUUGGUACUUGUAAGGUUGCUAGUAGUGUUGAUUACUCUUUGUAGUUGAUGCUAGUUGGAUUACUUGGUGGAAGAGUUUAUGUUCAGAUCCUUGAUGCUAUUCAUUAUACCUCUGGUCAUGAUUAUGAUUAUGUCUUGUGAGUAGUUACUUUUGUUCCUGAGGACAUGGGAUAAGUCAUGCUGAUAAUAGUCAUGUGAAUUUGAUAUUUGUUCGGUAUUUUGAUAUGUUGUAUGUUGUUUUUCCUCUAGUGGUGUUAUGUGAACGUCGACUACAUAACACUUCACCAUAUUUAGGCCUAGAGGAAGGCAUUGUGAAGUAGUAAGUAGAUGAUGGGUUGCUGGAGUGACAGAAGCUUAAACCCCAGUCUAUGCGUUGCUUCGUGAGGGGCUGAUUUGGAUCCAGUAGUUUAAUGCUAUGGUUAGACUUUGUCUUAAUUCUUCUUUUGUAGUUGCGGAUGCUUGCGAGAGAGGUUAAUCAUAAGCGGGAUGCUUGUCCAAGUAAGGGCAGUACCCAAGCGUCGGUCCACCCACAUAUCAAACUAUCAAAGUAACGAACGCGAAUCAUAUGAACAUGAUGAAACUAGCAUGACAGAAAUUCCCGUGUGUCCUCGGGAGCGUUUUUCCUCCUAUAAGACUUUGUUCAGGCUUGUCCCUUGCUACAAAAGGGAUAGGGCCACUUGCUGCACCAUUGCUACUACUUGUUACUUGUUCCUCUUUGCUUGCUACGUUUCACCUUGCUACACAAUCACUUGUUACCGCUACUUUCAGUGCUUGCAGUUAUUACCUUGCUGAAAUCCGUUUAUCAGAGCCUUCUGCUCCUCGUUGGGUUCGACACUCUUACUUAUCAAAAGGACUACGAUUGAUCCCCUAUACUUGUGGGUCAUCAGUAUGGUUGGUCUUCAUUCACUUUUCUCUUGAACUUCAAAAAUUUCAGCAAAAGGAAAUUAUGUUCAGGAGGAAGUUUUAUGGUGGUUCCUCAAGUAAGAAGGGUCCCCCUCUUUCUUUUCGGGAGCCCGAACCUUUUCAACUAAGGGACGCACCGGUACAACCAUCUGAAUGGCCUUCCGAUGAGUUCAUGAUUGAAGCAGGUUUCAAGGAUGAGUUUGAUACACUUGUCCGCAAUGCCGGGUUAGAAGAAUUCCUCUCAGAUAAGUGUGAACAGUAUGCUAUGCUCACUGCCUCUUUCGUGCGUAGAUUUAAAUUUUCAGUUGGCCGUGACUCAUCCAUACUGUUUGAUCUGUACGAUAAAUCUUAUACCGUGGAUUUGGAGGAUUUCAAUAGGAUUUGCAAGAUACCCGAUGGGGGUAGUAUUAAUGAUCCUUCUAAAUCUUCGGUCAGAGACUUUGUCUCUAGUAUAACUGUUGGAGAAACCAGAGAUAUCAUGCAAGCCACCAUAGGAAGCAUCCAUUUCCCUACCUUGCACUACCUUUCCCUCUUCAUAGGUAGGUGCAUUAACGGCAAGGGUGCACAUUGUCACCUAUGCGCUUCGGACCUUAGUAUCCUUAAGAGCGCAGUAACAGGUGACAGGCACUACAGGAAUCAACUUCUUUGCCGUCUGCCAUCACGGACGGCAAAGAGUAAAUCCCGGACAGCAAAGAGAAUAUCACAGACGGCAAAGAAUCUCACGGCCGACAAAAUUUCUGCGUCAGCCUACGACGGCAUCGUACCUUCUUUGCCGUCUGUCUCCCCAAAGCGGGCGACAAAGAGCUUUGCCGUCAGCUUUUCAUAGGAGCAGUUGGCAAAGUGAUCGAGACGGCAGCCAACAGGCGUUGCCUCCGUUAGGGGCUAACGGAGGCUUUGCCGUCUGCCUCCCCCUCUUCUUUGCCGUCUACCUCCCCCCCUCUUCUUUGCCGUCUGCCUCCCCCCUCUUCUUUGUUGUCUGCCUCCUCCUCCCCCCUCCACUCUUUGCCGUCUGCCUACCCCUCCCCCCUCCUCCGUGCCCUCUUCUUUGCCGUCUGCCCCCCUGGAAGCAGACGACAAAGAUACUAUAUGGCCAGCUACUACUGCCCAGGUUGCACAGCUGGGCGCCACGUGGCACCUUUGCCGUCGGCCAGCUGAUGGCAAAGGCCUUUGCCAUCAGCUAGCAGACGGAAAAGAGCCUAUAUUGUCACAUUUUUGUUUAUUUUUUCUAUUUCACAGCACAUAUACAUAUAAUUCAUAGCACAUAUAUGAUAAAUAGGUCACAACACAUAUAUGAUAUACAUAUAAAGCUCAUCAAUGCCAUUUGUUCAUCAACGUACAUCCCAUAUAUCAAAAGAACCAACACAUACAAAGUUUCAUCCAUAUAUACAUACAUAUAGUUGCACAUAUAUUGUUCAUCCAUAUAUACAUAUACAUAUAGUUCCACAUUGUUCAUCAACUCAAAUAAAAACGGAAACUAAAGCACUCCAAUGCCAGCUUCCAUGCAUGUAGUACAUCCAAUCUGCAAAAUGGGAAUAAGAAAGUAAGAAGAAGAAGAACAACAACAUAUAUAUGAAAAAUAAGCUAAAUUGAAGAAGAAAGAUAAGAAGGAAGAAGAGAACAAGGAGAAGAAAAACAAGAAGGAGGAGGAGGAGGAGGAGGAGGAGGGGAAGGGGAAGGAGAAGGAUAAGGAGGAGGAGAAGAAGAAAAAUAAGAGAAGGAGAAGGAGAAGGAGGAGGAGGAGAAGGAGGAGAGAAGAAGAAGGAGAAGAAGGAGGGCUAUUUCUUCUUCUUCUCCUCCUUCUCCUUCUUCUUCUCUUCUUCUCCUCCUCCUCCUUCUUCUUCUCCUUCUCCUUUUCCUUCUCUUCUUCUCUUCUUCUUCUUCUUCUUCCUUCUUUUCAUUUCUCCUAUUCUCCUCUUCUUGGAGCUAAAUUAGCUAACUAUAUAAUAUUAAUGAGCUAACCAAGGUUCUUAUGCCAUUUUGAGCUUAUAAUGUCUUUUAGGAGCUAAAUUGGCUAAUUAUAUCAUUGUUGGGGAAAUUAAGGAAGGAGAAUAUGAAAUAGGAGAAGAAAGAGGAGGAGGAGGAGAAGAAGAAGAAAUAAAGAAGAAGGAGGAGAAGGAGGAGGAGGAGGAGAAGGACUAGAAGGUCCUUGGCCUUCUCCUCUUUCUCCUCCUCCUCCUCCUCCUUCUCCUUCUUCUCUUCUUCUGCUUCUUCUUUCUUUUCAUUUUUCCUAUUUCUUCUCCUCUUCUCCUCUUGUUGGAGCUAAAUUAGCUAACUAUGUCUUUUUGGAGCUAAAUGGGCUAAUUAUCUCAUUUUAGAGGAAAACAAGCUAAGUAUAUAAUAUUAAUGAGCUAACCAAGGUUCUUAUGCCAUUUUGAGCUUAUUAUGGCAUUUUGGAGCUAAAUGGGUAAUUAUGUCAUUGUUGGGGAAAUUAAGGCAAGGAGAAUAUGAAAGAGGAGAAGAAAUAGGAGGAGGAGGAGAAGAAGAAGAAAUAAAGAAGAAGGAGGAGAAGGAGGAGGAGGAGGAGGAGGAGAAGGACUAGAAGGUCCUUAGGCCUUCUCCUCCUUCUCCUCCUCCUACUUCUUCUCUUGUUCUUCUUCUUCUUUCUUUUGAUUUUUCCUAUUUCUUCUCCUCUUCUUGGAGAUAAAUUAGCUAACUAUGUCUUUUUGGAGCUAAAUGGGCUAAUUAUGUCAUUGUUGGGGAAAUUAAGGCAAGGAGAAUAUGAAAGAGGAGAAGAGAAACUUACCGUAGUGGUCAUCAAGGAGGAGAAACACCUGGAGAAGGGUCGUGCAAUUUUCGCUCGAGAGUUAUUCUACACAAUAGAUAUUUUGCAAUGUCUCAGUUAGCAUGAUGACACUCAAUUAUUAAUACUAGUUUAUAAUGAAACUCACCGUGCCAAUCGAAGAGAAGACGGGCAUCGACGGAGGGACUUGACCGCUCUUCUCGCACAGACCCAGAAGAGUGGGUCGUAUUAGUUAGUAAUGAAACAAACAUUACACACAUGAUUUGGCUAAUGUGAAAAAAACUUACCACAAAAAGCUCGUACGGGGCCCGUUCACCCGCCUCAUUCUGAGACCUCUCCUCCUCAAUCAAUCAUGCCGUGGUCUGGUCCCUCUCAUCAAGAGCAGCCUGACUUGCCAAUCUCUCUUUCUCAAGAGCAGCCUCAAGAGCAGCCUGGCUUGCCAAUCUCUCUUUCUCAAGAGUAGCCUGGUUUUCCAAUCUCUCUUUCUGAAGAGCAGCCUGAAACACCAUUCCUCGUUACCACAGUAAUGAUCUAUGGUGACACACAUAAUGAAAUGGAUGAAAGUGUUCUUAGUCCUUACAACUAACCUCAAUGGCAAGAUCGACUGUCCGUGGACGAGCAUUAUCUCAGGACAGCUGCUCGACUGGCGCGCCUUGAUCUCCGGGAGAGUGAGUGGACAACGUAUUAUCCCAUCUCCAAUGGUUAUCGAUCCAUGGGGCCUCCCGCCACCAGAUAUCAUCACCAGCUCUGGAUCCAAAGGUUCCUGGCUAGGGUUAGAGUCAUCCCCUUCCGUAGCCUUCCCCGCAUCCCUGUAUGCCACGAGCUUCUGGUAGGAUGAUAUGUUGGUGAAGUUAUUGGGAUCAUCCAGGUCAGACUCAGAGAAUGCCUUCUCCUUCUUGUACGAGGCAGUAUGGGCCAUGCCAUAAAGGUCGUACAAGUGUGGCAUCUCCGUCUUAUUGUGAUGCGCCUAAAAGAGAGGAACAAAAUAUUAGCAUGAAGAAUGAAUUGCAUGAAUCAUGAAGCAAAUCACAUACCUAGUUUCGUCCGAACUGAAGUAAGUUGGCGCUGCCUUGAUGGUGUGGCACACCAACCAUUUGGCUACGCCGAUCCUUCGCAUUCUCGUGGACGGCUCACCAGCUGCCUGUGCACCACUCAUCAACCAACGCCUCCCAACAAUCCAUCUUAUCCGCACACCAUCUCGGGGGCACCUGUAAGUUAUUAGAAAGAAUUUUCAGCGCUACGCCUAUGAAUGAAAUCAAGAAAACUACGUAGAAGGACUUAAGAAUAGGUAAUUACCUUCAUGUAUUGCUCCUUCUUCAGAAACUUUCCACGACAAUCCUUCUUCUGCUUCUUAAUACCACAAGUGGCAUAGUAAUCUCGAAUAGCCUGCGGCCGAGCCUCGUGGCACAAGUUCUGUAGUAACCGCCUACACUCGGCCUCGAGAACCCUGGCCGCCUCCUCCUCAUAUCCAUUCUCACACCUAUAGAAGGUCUGCAAUCAAACGUGAAAACACCGAUUAGUACAAUAAUUAGCUAUAUUGUUAAUUUUAGAUUAUGUAAAAGGAUGAUUUACCCAAAAGCUCUUGAUCACCAUCUCGGCCCUUGUGUGGCACAAGACACCAUCUAUAAUCCCCUCCGGCGGGGCCUGCGCAGCCUGGUAGUGCUCCCAAGAAAAUCCUAGUGUAGGAACCUGACCCUCACCAGGCAACGUGACAAACCCCGGGAAAUUUGUCCGGAAAAGCACACCAAGGACGGAGUUCGGCCUGCGGACUCCAAGAGGGGGUACCCAUCCUCUGCAGUAUGAUAAGGUCAACGCAUUAGAUAUUUGAAGAAACUUGAAGGCAAAAGCUAAAAAAAGAGUAACUAUACUUACCUAUCUCCUUCAGGUUUAAUCACCGGCCUCUGCUCGCGGGUAGCCGACGCGACCGGGAGACGUGUACUACCACGCUUGUACACGGUGGCCCCGUCCACCUGCCCAUCGCCCUCACUAUCCGUAAGCUCAUCCCCGCCAUCCCCGCCCCCUGAGCCACCCGGACCCUCCGUCCAAUCCGGCAACUCGGUACGAUCCGGCCAGGUCUCCCAUCUGGGCCUCUCCACGUCGGGUGAAGCCUCCGGAACCGUAGUCUCGUGGGCGGAAUGCACCUCGACCCGAGGCUGCUCCUGGAUCGGAGUCUCAUGGGACGAACACCCGUCAACACCAGGCGCCUGGAACGGAGUUCCCGUAGCCUCCUCCGCAAACGGGUCGACCAUAGUACUCCUAUGCUCGGGUGAAUGAGCUGGUGGUGGUGGCGAGGACGGCUCAACAGUCCUCCUGGAUCUUCUGUGGCCACCACCUCUCCCUGUACCCUUCCCCUUCUUCCCUACCCGACCAACACCUCUCCAAGUGGGCAAUGCCACCGACGAAGAAGAACCCACGGGUGGUGUCGACAGACUGUCUGCCAAGGCUCUACGGAGAGAUAGGGGUGGAAGGGAAGUACCACCCCUCGUGCGGGGCGCUUGGGAAGAACCCGUUGAGCGAUCUGGACCAGCGCCCAUCAUCUUUCCACACCUGGUGACCUGCCAUGAUAAAGAUUAAAAGAAAUUAGUACAACAUAAAAAAAUUGAAUAACUUAUAUGAAUAAUAAUAUGUACAUGAAUAAUAAAGAUUAAAAAUAUAUAAUUUAAGUUGUGAAUCUUGCAAACUAAUAAUCAUCAUCAAUAAAUGCAUCAUCAUCAUCACUAUCACGCAUGUCUUCAUGAAUGACGUGCUCGUCGGGUUCAACGGCGUGAAGUUGUGAAAGGCCUUCCUUUUAUCGUUGAAGCAUUGACACGUCAUCCGCAUCAGUAACCUCUACGAGUUCCAGGUCUUCUGGUUCCGGCUCAGGGCUGGAGUCGGAUUUAUUGUCGCUGUCUACUUCCAUGUUCUUGGGUGAAGCACGACGGUUCUUGAAACGUUUCUUGGAAAGAUGUGUUUCUUGGAAGAAUUCUCCAUCAUAUGUGUCUGGGUUAAUGUGAGGUUCAUAAUCCUAUUCAUUUGGGAGAGGUGGUCUGACAUGUGGCGACACUUCAUAAACAACAUACCAACCUUCCAGAUUCUUAUCCAUUUGGCAUGCCCACGGUAGAUAGAAAACUUGGGUUGACUGUUGAGCUGUAAUAUAGACAUCGGGAACAUCUAAAUGGGUGUUUGGAUUGAUUUCGACUAGUCCUAUAUGUUCGUGAGUCCUUCUAGUCUUCUUCGGCUGGAACCAAUAACAUUUGAAGACUACGACGUUCGGUGGGUUUUCACCAUAGAAUUGAAGUUCAUAAAUUGCUUCAACUCUUCCAUAAUACUCGAUAACACCUUUGCCGAUAGUAGAGACACCACAUUUUGUAGAUUUCCGGUCGGGCAUAGAUAGCUCUUUGCCAAAGGUACGAAAGAGAUACCCGUUGAUGUUCUAUUUCUCAAAUGAACGGACCUUAUAGUCAAAACCAUUAGGGACUUGUCUCAAUUCGGCGUCCAUAGACUCUGAAUUAGCCUACAAGUUUAAUACGAAAUGAUUGUUGCAUUAGCCACAAGUUAGACCAAGAAAUGAAAAGGUCCAUUAUUGAUAAUUACCAUUUGUUUGAAACAAGACAUGAAAUCGGGAUAGCCGCCUCCCGUCUUUGACAGAAGCUCAUACUCUUCGACGGAAUCAUUUUCGAUCACCGCUCCAUCCGAGAAUUUGGCGACAUAACGACUGUUUGAAAUAUCCGGGAAUAAGAGUAGUUCAAAUGAAUUAGAAGUUACGGGAAAAUGUGCCGAGAACUCACUCGAUGUACGGCCGCACUUCUGUUAAGUUGUUGAAGAUAUACAACGAAAUGUUCCGGCAUUCUUCGACAUCCAACGUUAUUGGUUUCGAAGCACCGGCUGGUGCGAGCUUCCCUUUGAAUAGGCUGAGGUUGGACCCACCUUUUUUAGGGUCUGCAUCAUUGUGCUGAGGCUUCGGAUUAUGCAAAUGAUUAUUUUUAGCUUCGUAGUGUGCUGUCACAAAGUUUGCGACCUCCUCAGUAAUGAAUGCCUCACCAUCGAUGCUUCAAUUCUACGCUUAUUUUUACAAUUAGCUCGAAGGGUCUUCUGCAUCCUCUCAGUUGCAUAGCACCAACGAUCUUGCAUGGGCCCACCCAAUCUUGCCUCAGUCGGUAGAUGUAAAAUCAAAUGCUGCAUUGGAUUAAAGAAGCCUGGUGGAAAGAUCUUCUCUAACUUACACAACAACUCCGGUGCAAACUCCUCCAUGUCUUUUACCACGCCAGGCGACAAUUCUUUCACACAAAGAACACAGAAGAAAUAGCUCAGCUCCGCCAGUACUAGCCAUUCAUCCUCAGGAAUAAAGCCACGUAACAUCACCGACAUUACCCGCUCUAGCCAUAUGUGCCAAUCAUGACUCUAGAGACCAAAGAUUUUUAAUUUUUCAAGACUCGCUCCCCUCUUUAGAUUCGCUGCAUACCCAUCGGGAAACAUCAAGUGCAUUUUGACCCACAAGAUAAUUUCCCUCAUAGCUGGCCUUCCAAGAUUGAACCAGGCCUUUGGCUUCGACCACUUCUGCUUUCCUUUGCCUUCUCGCAUGUUUUGUAACGGUCUAUGACAUAGUGUCUCUUGAUCGACUCUAGCCUUAGUAUUAUCCUUUGUCUUCCCAUCUAUGUCGAACAAUGUACCAAAAAUAGCCUCUCCGAUAUUCUUUUUAGUGUGCAUCAUGUCGAUAUUGUGUGGAAGAAGGAGGUCUUUGAAGUAAGGCAGAUCCCAGAAGCAUGGCUUGUGAGUCCACGCAUGUUUUGAAUUAUACCCCUUGAAAUACCCUGGACGCUCUGGAUCAGGCUCGAGGGCGUUUAACUGAUCCAGGAUCUGUUGGCCUGUGAACGCAGGUGGUGCCAAGUUUUUGAUAACUUUACCUUUGGUAAAGUUCUUCUUGUCUUUUCUGAACUGAUGGUCAGGAUCGAGGAACUGUCUAUGCAAGUCAAAGCAAGAAUACUUCCGACCCUCCUACAACCGAUGAAACUGAAGAGCUGCCUUGCAUUGGGGCACGGGAACCUUCCAUGCACACACCAUCCAGAGAAUAGCGCAUACGCUGGCAAGUCAUGCAUAGAGUACAUGUACCACACAUGCAUUUUGAAGUUUUCUUUUCGAGCGGCAUCGUAUGUCUUGACCCCAUUAUCCCAAGCUUCUUCCAAUUCAUCCUUAAGUGCUUGCAGGUACACAUUCAUAUUCUUCCCCGGAUAAUUGGGCCCUGGAAUUACCAACGUCAGAAAUAUGUUCUUUCUUUGCAUAAUCUGCCCGGGGGGGGGGGGGGAGAUUGAGUGGAAUGACAAAUACAAGCCAACAACUGUAUUGGGUUGCCGUCAUGCCGAAGGGAUUAAAACCAUCUGUGGCGGCGCAGACUCGAGGAUUACUUGGAUCUGCCGCUUUAUCCUGAUGCAAUCCAUCGAAAUGUUUCCACGCUUCCCCAUCCGAUGUGUGUACCAUCAUCUUAUUCCCAUCCGCAUCUAGUUCGAUUCUUUUGCCCAAUUUGUGCCAUGUCAUCUGUCUGGCUGUCUCUUCGACCAUGAAAACACGUUGAAGUCUUGGUACGAUUGGCAUAUACCGAAGAACACUAACUGCGAUUUUGGUCUGCCUCUUCUCACCCAUACCGUUGUCUACCACAAGAUACGUGCAAGACUCGCAAUUGGGACAAUAGUCCAAGUGGGCAUACUCCUUCCUAAAUAAGACACAUCCUUUCUCACAUGCAUCUAUCUUCUCAUAGGGCAUCUUAAGUACACGAAGUAUUUUGUCCGACUGGUACAUGUUUGCAGGCAUGACAUGGCCUUUGGGUAGGAAGCGUCCAAAUAGUGUCAUCAUCGCGUCGUAGCAUUCUCUUCCCAAGUUGAACUGAGCCUUUAGAGCCAUUACUUGUGCAAUUGCAUCCAGCUGACAGAGCUCAGUGUGCUCAUGGAGAGGACAUUUUGAAGACUCCAACAUUUCAUAAAAGGCCGGUGCAGAUUCCUCCAUCUCAUCUUCCGAAUCCCGAGCAUCAUCAAAGUCUUGCACCAUGUCUUCGAUCCCGGUACCAUGCUCGUCCAUGCGACGACGGACCACCUCAGCUCUUGUGCGUUGUAUAGACUCACCAUGAAAUGUCCACACCGUAUAAUUAGGCUUAAAACCCCUCCUCUGCAGGUGUUUAGUCAUUACAGCCUCUGUUGUCUUUUUUAUAGUUGUCGCAUCCAGGACAGGGGCAAUAGUUUCUUUCCUGGCCAUUUGUGAAUGCGGCUUUCACAAAUUCCUUUGUUUUUACAAACCAUUCUUUCGUCAUCUCUUUCUGACUAGGGUGACCGGUAUACAUCCACGCACGAUUACUCAUCUUGCGUAGCUACUAAAGAUAGAAGAAAUAUAUUUAUAUAUAAUUUAGCAUUUAUAUUCAUCGGUUAAUCAGGUUCGCCAUUUUUAUUACGUCCAGGAAAUCUACACGCUAAUAGGUAAAGAUAGGUCCUAAUCCCACCCGAGUAUGUGUAGAUUGGGUUCGUUUUCCCAUGCUUUGCUCCGGAUCCAACGCAAAAUUUCGGCAGCACCUCCCCGCUGUUCUCCUGAUACACGUCUCCGCAAUAAACAGAGAGGAUGUGCAUCCGGAGAACAACAGGGAGGCACUGACAAAAUUCCACAUCGGAUCCAGAGCACAACAUACGGGAAAACGAACCCAAUCUACACAUACUCAGGUUGUCAAUGGAUAAUGUUGGACAAUUGGAAACGAUGGCGGUUAUAAAUAUGCAAAGACAUGCAUAUUUAUAGAUGUCGCCCUUUCGAACAGGAGACGCAUACUGGUCACGCAUACUGAUAAAUUAAUUUAAUUACCUAAAUCUAUAAAGUUUCAUCCGGAAACCGAGCCACAGUAAAUGAAGGGGCGGGGAGGAGAUGAAAUUUGUACUAACCCACGAAUGCAGGGGCGGAGCUCAUACAACGCACCGGCAGGUCUUCGCACAGCAGACCUCACAGCGACGAGACAACUAUCACAUGUAAAUCCACCCGAUCAACACAAAUAUUAUAAUUAUGUCAUUUUAGAGGAAAACAAGUUAAGAAUAUAAUAUUCAUGAGCUAACCAAGGUUUUUAUGCAAUUUUGUAGCUAAAUGGGCUAAUUAUCUCAUUGUUGGGGGAAAAUAAGGUCAGAAGAAUAAGAUAGGGGAGAAGAAAUAGGAGGAGGAUANNNNNNNNNNNNNNNNNNNNNNNNNNNNNNNNNNNNNNNNNNNNNNNNNNNNNNNNNNNNNNNNNNNNNNNNNNNNNNNNNNNNNNNNNNNNNNNNNNNNAAGACAUAGUUAGCUAAUUUAGCUCCAAGAAGAGGAGAAGAGGAGAAAUGAAAAGCAAGAACAAAAAUAAGAAGAGAAAGAGAAAGAGAAGGAGAAGGAGAAGGAGGAGGAGGAGAAGGAGAAGGAGGAGGAGGAGGAGGAGAAAGAGGAGAAGGCCAAGGACCUUCUAGUCCUUCUCCUCCUCCUCCUCCUUCUCCUCCUUCUUCUUUAUUUCUUCUUCUUCUCCUCCUCCUCCUCUUUCUUCUCCUAUUUCAUAUUCUCCUUGCCUUAAUUUCCCCAACAAUGACAUAAUUAGCCCAUUUAGCUCCAAAAUGCCAUAAUAACCUCAAAAUGGCAUAAGAACCUUGGUUAGCUCAUUAAUAUUAUAUACUUAGCUUGUUUUGCUCUAAAAUGGGAUAAUUAGCCCAUUUAGCUCCAAAAAGACAUAGUUAGCUAAUUUAGCUCCAAGAAGAGGAGAAGAGGAGAAGAAAUAGGAAAAAUGAAAAGAAAGAAGAAGAAGAAGAAGAAGAAGAAGAAGGAGAAGGAGGACGAGGAUGAGGUGAAGGAGGAGAAGGCCAAGGACCUUCUAGUCCUUCUCCUCCUCCUCCUCCNNNNNNNNNNNNNNNNNNNNNNNNNNNNNNNNNNNNNNNNNNNNNNNNNNNNNNNNNNNNNNNNNNNNNNNNNNNNNNNNNNNNNNNNNNNNNNNNNNNNCAACCGAGUGAAAAACGCACUGUGCGGCCAUGUGAUGAAGACACGCUCGGCGGAGUGACGGCGCGUGAGGCGGCCGAGUGAUGGAGACACGUCCAACCGAGCGGCGACAUGUGGGCGGACAAGUGAUGUAGACACGUCCAACAAAGUGGUGACGCGCGGGGCGUCCAUGUGAUGAAGACGCACUCGGAGGAGUGGCGAUGCGCGAGGCAUCUGAGUGAUGAAUACACAUCCAAAUGAGUGGCGACACACGAGGCGGCCAUGAGAUGAAGACACGCUCAGCGGAGUGACGACGCGCGAGGCAGUCGAGUGAUGGAGACACGUCCAAGCGAGGGGCAACGUGUUGGGUGCCCAAGUGAUGUAGGCGCAUCUAGCAGAGUGGCAAUGCGCGAGGUGGCCAUGUGAUGAAGACGCGCUUGGUGGAGUGGUGAUGCUUGAGUCAUGUGAGGGAUGAAGACACGUCCUGCUGAGUGGAGACCCACGGGGCGGCCAUGUAAUGAAGACACACUCAGCUGAGUGAGGGUGCGCAAGGCGGCGAGUGAUGGAGACGCGUCCAACCAAGUGGCGACGUGGUAGACAUGUGAGUGAUGAAGACGCGUACAACUGAGUGGCGAAACGCGGGGUGUCCAUGUGAUGAAGACGCUCUCGAAGGAGUGACGACGCGCUAGGCAUUAGAGUGAUGAAGACGCAUCCAGCUGAGUGGCGACGCGCGGGGCCGCCAUGUGAUGAAGACGCGCUCGAUGGAAUGAUGGCACGCAAGGUGGUCGAGUGAUGGAGAUGCGUACAACCGAGCGGCGACGUGCUAUGCGGUCAAGUGAUAUAGGCACGUCCAGCAGAGUGGUGACGUGCGGGGCAGCCAUGUGAUGAAGACGCUCCCGGCGGAGUGGCGAUGCGCGAGGCAUGUGAGUGAUGAAGAUGUGUCCAGCUGAGUGGCGACGCGCGGGGGCGUCCAUGUGAUGAAGACGUGCUUAGCAGAGUGAUGGCGCGCAAGGCGACCGAUNNNNNNNNNNNNNNNNNNNNNNNNNNNNNNNNNNNNNNNNNNNNNNNNNNNNNNNNNNNNNNNNNNNNNNNNNNNNNNNNNNNNNNNNNNNNNNNNNNNNACCCGACCGACCGUACCCGUCGGCGGCGGCGGUACGGGGCCCACGCCUAGCUAUGUCGUUCGUCGGGUCCCCCUGUCGUCCUCGUUUCGCCCUACCUCUUCCGACCUAUAAAUUCAAGAAAAAUUACCAAAAUUGCACGAGAGAUCCAAGAAAUUACUUUUCCGCUGCCGCACGCUUCUGUCUCCGCAAGAUCCCAUAUGGGGCACAUUCUGGUGCCCUGCCGGAGGGGGUAUUCGGAUACGGAGGGCUUCUUCAUCAACACCAUGACCUCUCCGAUGAUUCGUGAGUAGUUCACCAUAGACCUUCGAGUCCAUAGCUAGUAGCUAGAUGGCUUCUUCUCUCUCUUGGAUCUUCAAUACAAAGUUCUCCAUGAUCUUCAUGGAGACCUAUCCGAUGUAGUCUUCUUUGCGGUGUGUUUGUUGAGAUCCGAUGAAUUGUGGAUUUAUGAUCAGAUUAUCUAUGAAUCUUAUUUGAGUUUCUACUGAUCUCUUAUAUGCAUGAUUCCAUAUCCUUGUAAUUCUCUUCGAGUGGUGGGUUUUGUUUGGCCAACUUGAUCUAUGAUUCUUGCAAUGGGAGAAGUCCUUGGUUUUGGGUUCAUACCAUGCGGUGACCUCACCCAGUGACAGAUGGGGUAGAGAGGCACGCAUUGUGUUGUUGCCAUCAAGGGUAAAAAGAUGGGGUUUUCAUCAUUGGUUUGUGUUUAUCCCUCUACAUCAUGUCAUCUUGCUUAAAGCGUUACUCUGUUCGUCAUGAACUCAACGAGAUUAAUUGAAUCCUUGACAUAGAGGUUCAACUGAUAAAGAUCUUCGUAGAAUAUGUAGGAGCCAAUAUGGGCAUCCAGGUCCCGCUAUUGGUUAUUGGCCGUAGAGGUGUCUUGGUCAUGUCUGCAUAGUUCUCGAACCCGUAGGGUGUGCACACUUAAGGUUCGAUGACGUUUUGGUAUAGUUGAGUUAUAUGUGUUAGUAACCAGUGCGCUGGAUUCUUCUGAGGACCAAGUCUCUCUCUCUAAAAGAGAGAGGCUUGAUCUUUUUGCUGUGGUAGUAUCUCAACUUCUGUUGAUAGAUGGCCAUCCGGCUCAAGGCCAAGUCCCUUGCUUCUUCGAGGAGGUCCACACCGUCUUCUCUUGCCUCCAUAGCCUUUGUUUCUGUGUAUAGGGUGACCCGAGGCGAGUCGAACUCGAUAUCCGUGGGAAUAAUAGCCUCGGACCCGUAUACAAGAAAGAACGGAGUGAAGUCGGUCGACCGGUUGGGCGUGGUGCGGAGGCUCCAUAACACAGCCGACAGUUAUUCAAUCCAGCAGCUGGCGAAUCUGACCAGUGGUGCCACCAGUCUUUUCUUGAUGCCAGCUAGAAUCAGGCCGUUGGCCCUCUCUGCUUGGCCAUUCGACUGGGGAUGUGCCACUGACGUCUAAAUCGAGCCGGAUGCCUACCGUUGGAACGGUAGAGCGCCAGAGUGCCUUUGGCGAAGUUGGUGCUGUUGUCGGUGAUGAUGCUGUGGGGAACGGCCAUAUCGAACAGAGAUGUCCGUGAUGAACCUGACGGUUGUGGGGGNNNNNNNNNNNNNNNNNNNNNNNNNNNNNNNNNNNNNNNNNNNNNNNNNNNNNNNNNNNNNNNNNNNNNNNNNNNNNNNNNNNNNNNNNNNNNNNNNNNNUAUGAGCCAACGAAACCAUCAUUUAGGGUGCGCGCUUGAGCUUUCUGAUUCGCCCCAUCCUGUUGCGACCUUAUGAGCCGACGAAACCAUCAUUUCGGGUGCGCGCUUGAGCUUUCUGACUCGCCCCAUCCUGUCGCGACCUUAGAGCCGACGAAACCAUCAUCUAGGGUGGCACUUUAGCUUUCUGACUCGCCCCAUCCUGUCGCGACCUUAUGAGCCGACGAAACCAUCAUCUAGGGUGGCUCUUGAGCUUUCUGACUCGCCCCAUCCUGUCGCGACCUUAUGAGCCAACGAAACCAUCAUUUAGGGUGCGCGCUUGAGCUUUCUGACUCGCCCCACCUGUCGCGACCUUAUGAGCCGACGAAAUCAUCUGGGGUGCGCUUGAGCUUUCUGACUCGCCCCAUCCUGUCGCGACCUUAUGAGCCGACGAAAUUGUUAUUUUUUAUUUAUUUACCUUCCUGGCACUGCCACAAGGUUUUUCCAAACUUUUUCCUGAUUCAUCUUGAAAUAUUUUGGGUCGAUUGCUAUUUAUUAUCGCCCAUUACUCACUGAGGUGCUAGCCACCGUGACUCACUGAGCCGGCUUAUUUAAAAUAGCUUGAUGCCAUACUUAUCAUAUCAUAUACAUGCAUCAUCUUGCAUUGCAUCAUGCAUCAUACAUACAUAUCAUGCCGGUCUUCAAACCGGAUCAACGCAUAAAUUCUUGCAGGUGCAAAUAAAUCUUUGAAUAGCCAAUUUGGCUGGAUUUUCAUCAUGGUUUAUCAUAACCAGUGUUAAAUGAUUGUGGUUUUUAAGGCCAGCUCGGAAGAAUUGACUAUUGUCGAAGAGCCGCCCUAUCACAUAUAAUGCCGAGUCAUCUAAUUGACCGGCCCUUGGAUUUCUUCAACUUGUGCUCUGUAGUAGACUACAACACUUAUGGAUUUCUCAAACAUAUGGAUUUCUCAAAGGAUAUAUUUUCCGGGUUACAUUGCAAACCACGGUCGAGGAUUUCUUUUAUCACAAAGGCAUCAUCAGCUCACAGAUUGGAUAUGAUUUUAUUCUACAAUGGAAGGAAUAGCCCCGAGUCGCUACAGGCACGCAACCCGACACUCGGGGGCUACAUUAUUCAGAUCAAGAUUACAUCAAAGUAUGCAAGUCCCAUGUCGCUGCAAGCAUGCACCAUGACACUUGGGGGCUAAUGCAAUCCGCUUUUCAAAUGAUCACAUCAUCAACAGACCCGACUAUUUCAAGAAGAUAAGCCGGCCCUAGGGGGCUACAGGUCGCUCAUUGUUCAAGUAUGGAUUCUAGGAAGAUCCGGCCCAUCACACACUGAUAACCCGGCCCUUGGGGGCUACAGGUAACAUGGAUAUAUCAAAAAAUUGAAGAGCACAUUUCAUUGUGUCAUGGAGGUGAAGUAUUGGGAGACCGGUUCAGCAUAUUUUUAUGUAGUUGAAGCACCGAAAGACCGGCUCAACAUCAGACGGAUUUGUCAAUUGGAGUUCAGUUGUUUGACGGGGCACUACUAAUAAUGAUGACCCGCCAUUGUCAAUCAUGACCCGCCAUUGUCAAUCAUAACCCGCCGAAGCAAGAGAAGCUAGUUCAACAUUGUGUGGAUUUCUUAUUUCCCAAAUUUUCAUCAAGCCAAAGCAUUGGAGGCCGACUCAAUGGCAUAUGUAUUUUAUUGCAAAGGACAUGUCUCAACAAUGAGAUGAUUGAAGGCGGCUCGAAGAAACCCAGAUUUUUCAAGGAGCCACUUCAGUAAAUCAAGCCGGCCAGAGGAGCAAGCCGGUCCCUUAACUUAUUUAUUAUUCUUAUUUCAGGAGCUUACCAUGAAUAAAUUCAAGCUAACCUUGGGGGCUAAUGUCGGGGAUAUACCCCGCAGUGUAACCCGGCUUGGAGUAUGACCCGCCAAAGGACUUGGCGACUCANNNNNNNNNNNNNNNNNNNNNNNNNNNNNNNNNNNNNNNNNNNNNNNNNNNNNNNNNNNNNNNNNNNNNNNNNNNNNNNNNNNNNNNNNNNNNNNNNNNNUCACCGUUGCUAGCCUCUCUAGUGCCGCGCAACUUUCGCCAGUGCACAAAACCACCAUAUACCUUCCUCAAAACAGCCACCAUACCUACCUAUCAUGGCCUUUUCAUAGCCAUUCCGAGAUAUAUUGCCAUGAAACUCCCACCGUUCCGUCUCAUGACUUGUGCGGUAAGCUAGCGAGAUGUUUCAACGGCAUACGCUAAGCUAGAUCAUUGCACAUCCGGGUACACUGUCGGAGGCAUUUCCUAUAGAGUCAUCAUUGCUCUAAGUAUUGAGUUGUGAGUAAAUAAAAGUGUGAUGAUCAUCAUUAUUAGAGCAUUGUCCCAUGUGAGGAAAUAAAAAAGAAGAGGCCAAAGAUGCCCACCAAAAAAAUGAAAAGAGGCCAAAGAGCCCAAAAAAAGAGAGAGAAAAAGAGAGAAGGGACAAUGCUACUAUCUUUUUCCACACUUGUGCUUCAAAAUAGCACCAUGUUCUUCAUGAUUGAGAGUCUCUUGUUUUGUCACCUCCUUAUACUAGUGGGAAUCUUCAUUAUAUAACUUGGCUUGUAUAUUCCAAUGAUGGGCUUCCUCAAAAUUUCCCUAGGUCUUCGUGAGCAAGCAAGUUGGGUGCACACCCACUAGUUCUCCUUUUGAGCUUUCACUCACUUAUAGCUCUAAGUGCAUCCGUUGCAUGGUAACCCCUACUCAUUCACAUUGAUAUCUAUUGAUGGGCAUCUCCAUAGCCCUCUGAUACGCCGAUUCGAUGUGACCAUCUCCUUAUUUUUGCCUCACAACCUCAACCACACUCUAUUCCACCUAUAGUGCUAUAUCCAUGGAUCACGCUCAUGUAUUGCGUGAGAGUUGAAAAAGUUCGAGAAAGUAAGAGUGCGAAAACAAUUACUUGGCUAAUACCGGGGUUGUGCAUGAUUUAAAUUUGUUGUGUGGGGAUAAUGGAGCAUAGCCAUACUAUAUGAUUUUGUAGGGAUAACUUUCUUCGGCCUUGUUAUUUCGAAAGUUCAUGAUUACCUUGCUAGUUUGCUUGAAGUAUUAUUGUUUUCAUGUCAAUAGAAAACUAUUUUUUUGAAUCUUACGGAUCUGAACAUUCAUGUCACAUGAAAAGAAGUUACAAAGGACAAAUAUGUUAGGUAGCAUUCCACAUCAAAAAUUCAGUCUUUAUCACUUCCCUACUCGAGGACGAGCAGGAUUUAAGCUUGGGGAUGCUUGCUACGUCUCCAACGUAUCUAUAAUUUUUGAUGGUUCCAUGCUAUUAUAUUGUCAACUUUGGAUGUUUUGUAUGCAUUUUAUAUCUUCUUGGGACUAACCGAUUAACUCAGUGCCAAGUGCUAGUUCCUGUUUUUUCCGUGUUUUUGACCUUUUUCAGAGGAGAAUAUCAAACGGAGUCCAAACGGAAUAAAACCUCCGGAAAGAUUUUUUUCCCGAAACAGAAGAUACGCAGGGAACUUGAGAACCAAGGCAAAGGGCUCCGGGNNNNNNNNNNGAGGCCACAAGCCCCCUAGCCGCGGUCUGGGGGCACGCCUAGCAGGCUUGUGGGCCCCCCAUGGCUCCUUUGCCCUACCUCUUCCGCCUAUAAAUUACCUAAAAAUCUGAAACCACGGGAGAGAGCCACGAAAUACUUUUCCGCCGCCGCAAGCUUCUGUCUCCGCAAGAUCCCAUCUGGGGACCGUUCUGGUGCCUUGUUGGAGGGGGGUUCGGACACGGAGGGCUUCUUCAUCAACACCAUUGCUUCUCCGAUGGUGCGUGAGUAGUUCACCACACACCUUCGGGUCCAUAGCUAGUAGCUAGAUGGCUUCUUCUCUCUCUUGGAUCUUCAAUACAAAGUUCUCCAUNNNNNNNNNNGAUUAUCUAUGAAUCUUAUUUGAGUCUCCUCUGAUCUCUUAUAUGCAUGAUUUCAUAUCCUUGUAAUUCUCUUCGAGUUGUGGGUUUCGUNNNNNNNNNNGAUCUUCAUGGAGAUCUAUCCGAUGUAAUCCUAUUUUGUGGUGUGUUUAUCGAGAUCCGAUGAAUUGUGGAUUUAUGAUCAUAUUAUCUAUGAAUCUUAUUUGAGUCUCCUCUGAUCUCUUACAUGCAUGAUUUCAUAUCCUUGUAAUUCUCUUCGAGUUGUGGGUUUCGUUUGGCCAACUUGAUCUAUAAUUCUUGCAAUGGGAGAAGUGCUUUGGGUUCAUACCGUGCGGUGACCUCACCCAGUGACAGAAGGGCUAGCGAGGCACGCAUCAUGUUUUUGCCAUCAAGGGUAAAAAGAUGGGAUUUAUAUCUAUUGCAUGAAUUUAUCCCUCUACAUCAUGUCAUCUUGCUUAAGGCGUUACUCUGUUUGUUAUUAACUCAAUACACUAGAUGCAUGCUGGAUAGCGGUCGAUGUGUGGAGUANNNNNNNNNNGGUUUUGGGUUCAUACCGUGCGGUGACCUCAUCCAGUGACAGAAGGGGUAGCGAGGCACACAUCAUGUUGUUUCCAUCAAGGGUAAAAAUAUGGGGUUUAUAUCUAUUGCAUGAAUUUAUCCCUCCACAUCAUGUCAUCUUGCUUAAGGUGUUACUCUGUUUGUUAUGAACUCAAUACACUAAAUGCAUUUGGAUAGCAGUCGAUGUGUGGAGUAAUCGUAGUAGAUGCAAAAAGUAUUGGUCUACUUGUCUCGGACGUGAUGCCUAUAUGUAAUUCGUUCACCCACCGUAAUAUCGUCAUGACUUUGCGCGGUUCUAUCAAUUGCUCGACAGUAAUUCNNNNNNNNNNAUCGUAGUAGAUGCAGAAAGUAUCGGUCUACUUGUCUCAGACGUGAUGCCUAUAUGUAUGAUCAUUGCCUUAGAUAUCGUCAUGACUUUGCGCGGUUCUAUCAAUUGCUCGACAGUAAUUCGUUCACCCACCUUAAUAUUUGCUAUCUUGAGAGAAGCCUCUAGUGAACACUAUGGCCCCCGGGUCUACUUCACAUCAUAUUUUCUGCUCUACACUUUUACUUUGUUGCACUUUCCACCUUCAUAUCUCACCUUGCAGUUAACCGUGAAGGGAUUGACAACCCCUUUGUAGCGUUGGGUGCAAGUUUGCUUGUUUUGGGCAGGUACUUUGGAGACUUGCCUUGAUACUCCUACUAGAUUGAUACCUUGGUUCUCAAACUGAGGGAAAUACUUACUGCUACUGUGCUGCAUCACCCUUUCCUCUUCGAGGGAAAAACCAACGCAAGCUCAAGAGGUAGCAAGAAGNNNNNNNNNNNNNNNNNNNNNNNNNNNNNNNNNNNNNNNNNNNNNNNNNNNNNNNNNNNNNNNNNNNNNNNNNNNNNNNNNNNNNNNNNNNNNNNNNNNNUUGUCAAAGGGCUUUGCACCACCUACCCAUCAACACCAUUCACCAUGCCCACAAAAAAAGAGAAAAACUACUACAAUUCACCAUUGCUGACCCUGCUUAAAAUUGUCAACCAUCCCCGGGCACCACUUGGCACACAUGUUGCACGACAACAACCUCCUGCCAGAAAACCUAUCCACGAGCGGAAUUAUUCCAUCUGCACCUAGAUUAUUACACUUAGGAAUUAUGAGUCGUACGUGUGAGACUCCGACAUGACGGGGUCCAAACACCUGUAGAGGAAAUUCGGACAACCGGAUGUGUCCAUGGACUCGAUGAGGUAUCAUGUUACAUGACAAACAACAUUGGAAGAGCUUGGCCCGAAUGUAUGCGGGCAUUUUAGGGUCGGCGUUGGAGAUGCCCUUAUCGAGGGAGCUUUGCCUUUUCAUUAAUAAGAAGAAUAGAUCCAUCCAAAAAACAAAAAAAAGGUGAGAAAAACUAGUUACAAGCAAUUGCAGCCGAAUACACAUUUUUAAGGGGAGAAAAGACACUUUCUUACGGUCUUAAUUUGACUAUUAGCGAAAUGUUUAAUAAAAGGAAACGUUUACGAUCGACACGUUGGCCGAACGAUCCAGCCGGACGCGCGCUACGCGUAGGAUCCAUAUGGAUCGAACGCGUCCCAUGGGCCUCCCGCCCCCCGCUGCCCCCUUUUCCCCUUAUCCCCUUGUGUUGUUUCUGGCCAGAAAAAUGUCCCCACCGUGUUCGAUCCAUAUGGAUCCCUUCUGUUAUUUCUGCCCAGCUGUCCCUCUCCGUGCACAUCCCUAUCCAUUGGUCCUGCCCACCUCUUAUCUCUCUCUCCACCUCCCGCGUUUGUGUUGCACUGCUCCUUGCUCCUUUUUUUCUUCCUCGGAAACAUGCAGGCGGCACGAAGCCAUCCACCUCCUACAUGCUAUGUGCCGCAGUCGCCCAGUGCCAUAACUCCUCGUCCAUCAAAGCUGCCACGGCUGUCACCGGGUGCUGCAAGGGAGCAGACCAUGCGGGGGAUGCUCCAACACUUAGAAGGUGCUUGGAUCCAAAAGACUAAAACUAGUCUGACUAAAACUAGUCUCUUUAAGAGGCUAAAGUUCCAAGCACCCCUGACUAAAGAGAGACUAAAACUAGACUUGAGGCUAAAAUCUUUUAGUCAGGGAUACCCCUACUAAAAUGUGCAUUAGUCCUCUCUCUCCUCAUUUAACUCCUCAGGCAAGUUCUGGAUUGGAGGGUUUGAAGGAUAAUAAAUGUUUAUUAACUUGAUUUUAGUCUUUUUAGUACUUGAAUCCAAGCAUGGAUGAGGCUAGCAAGUUUUAGUCUCAUUACUUUUAGUCAUGGGACUAAAACAUAUCCAAGCACCCUCUUACUGGGGCGGGCGACAUGACCCAGCGGCAUCGUUUUGCUACAAACAACAAGGUGUUUUGUUGAACUAGCGACACCAAUUGCUGGAACCGUGCACACAGGAGCUGCAAACAUACACCCACGGACUGCACCUGCCGCCGACGAUGUCGGCGAAAAUGUUACAACCAUGUAUCAUGGAAGCUACAACCAUCUCUCGGAAAAAGCUACAACGAUGCACACGGGAGCUACAACCGGCAACGCCAUCGUCGGGAAAAUGCUUCAACCGUGUCCCGCACAAGCUACAUCCACAUACGUCACAGCUGCAAUCAUUUCGGUGUUGCUACAACAGUGUCACCAGAGCUACAACCGGCGACGUUGUCAUCACAAAAAUGCAUGAACCGUGUAGUGAAGAAGUUACAUCCAUGCGCAGCAGAGGUGCAAGCAUUUUGUGGCAACGCUACAGCCGUGUUGCCAGAGCUGCGAUGCAGGGCAAGCCAUGAUGCUGACGACCAUCGGUGUGUGGAGCUUCGCGACCAACGCCGCCGCUAUCAUGAUUCCCGUAUGAUGGAACCAAGCGGCAACAGAGUUACAACCUUGACAACAAAAACUAUUUUUGUAAAACCAGGAAGGAUGUGUUUCAAUCGCUACCGGUUAUGGAAGCGACAAGCCUGCCUGCGGUGUUGGUUCGAGGACUACAAGGCAGCAGCAACGGCAACGAGUUGUGGCGCGUGAGGUGGAUGUAGCCUACAACGCAGAAUAAGGACCCACGCAGGUCUAUUUCUGUUACGGGACGAAGCUAUUUGAAGAAGAAGAUAAGAUGACGUGGGUUGCAGGAUCGGGCGACUACAGAAUGCCUAAUAUGACACUGGCCGAACCCUUGGGCCGGUCCGCCGGCGCCUGCCGCCUAGCGAUCCCCUUUAAUAAAAGGUUUUCAGAGGGCUUCACACCAUCUACCCAUCAACACCAUUCACAAUUUCCCUAAAAAAACUACUACAAUUCACCGUUGCUGACCUUGUUUAAAACUGUCAGCCAUCCCCGACACCACUUAACACACGUGCUGCAGGUGCAGGACAGCAACCUCCUGCCAGAAAAUCUAUCCACGGAAUCUGCACCUAGUGUCAUACUCUCUGUGUAAAAAAAUAUAAGAGCAUUUAAAUCAUUACUUUAAUAAUCUAAACAUUUUUAUAUUUUUUUACGAAGGGAAUACUUAUAACCAUACGAACAUGAGGAAUACUUAUAACCAUACGAACAUGUCCAAUCAAUCAAUAAUCUACCGCUCGCCAUUGUUGACCCAAAACUGCCAACAAAACGGUCCCUCCCAACCACAUUGCAGUUGGCACAUGCUGGCCCGAGACGGCUAACCGCCAGGAUGCGUGCAGCUGCUUGUUGUUCCCUCCAAUAAUUGGAGCAGCAAACUUUACAGGAUCGAGAAAGGUUUUCCAAGCCAACAGCACGCGCUAUUCUUCUCACCACUUUUGUUAUCAUAGGUAUAUGAAUAAUGUAGCAUUCAUACAAAGCACAAGCCACUCGCUUUUCAGUUCACUGGUCUGCAAUGCACCGGCAGCACCGUAAGACGAGGAAUAUCACAGCCAAUCUGCAUACCACUUCCAGAAAACGCCAUCAAGAAUCAGACCAGAGCCAUCAUGCAUGUCUUGCCAUGCCAUGUCAUGCCAUGAUGCCCAUGGCUGUGAUCGGAGCGAUCCGCACACUAUGUUCAACUCCUCCUCCCCCAUCUUCAGACAACAGCUACCCUUCAUACGGCCUGCAGACCGAGCGUCCGGUCCAUCCACCUGAUGAUGUCGGCGGCGAUCUCGUCGCGCUCGGGUUCGAAGAGCAGGUCGUGCAGGAACCCCUCGUACAGCCGCAGGUCCUUGUGCCUCGACGCCGCCUCCCUGUAGAGCUCCUGCGAGGCCAGCGGGUCCGUCACCCGGUCCGCCGUGCCGUGCAGGACUACAAACGGGACAGUCACCUUCUUCAGGUUGUGCAGCAGGUAGGAGGAGAUGCGCAGGAUCUCGUGGCCCGUACGGACCCUGAUCGGCCCCGUGUAGACCAGCGGGUCAGAGUACUUUGCUAGCAGCGCCGCAGGGUCGCGGGACACCGGGAUGCCCCGCUUGUUGGCUCCCUUGAAUUGGAACUUGGGUGCAAUCAGAGAGAAUAUCGGUGCCACUGCCUGCAUUUGAUUCAGAUGAGUCUCAGUG
rnacentral:lncRNA from 1 species